GGUAAUAUUGUAAACUUAUACUAUCAGGGGGGUUUUUGGCCAUUAUAAAAAUAACAGCGAGAGAAAUGGUAUAUGUUGAUUACUGUAGGGAGGAAAUUGACAAUCUCCCUAAGAUAUUUAAUAAGUUAUGAGUACAUCAAUCAAUACUGUAAGUAAUAAGAUGAUAAUUCUAACUCUUAUUAAAUGUAUGCUUUCUAGAGUUAAUCAUGUUGGAUUUUCACAAAUUCUAUCCAAUCCAAUUCAUGUUCCUCCCUAUCUUAUAUUAUCUAAAAUUGUAAAAUACAAAAAAAAAAAGUUCUAAAGACUUUCAAAAUGAUGUCAAUACUCCAAUUCUCUAACCAAUUGUAAACCACGUAGAACUAAUAAAUUGAAGGAAAAAAAGAUUAAUUAAUGUUGGAAUGUUAAAUUAGUCUUCGAAAUUGUAAAAAAAAAAAAAAGAUAAAAACUGAGAAAAAUAACAUAAAACUUAUAAAUUGGCAUUGACUGUGAAAUGAAACAAAAGAUUUUUAAACCAUACAUAUGACUAGUAAAUUGAAGGAAAAAUAGAUAAAUUAAUAUCAGAGUAGUAAAUUAGUCUUUAGAAUUGUAAAAACCCAAAAACUUAGAAAAAUGACAUAAACUUGUAAAUGAACAUUAAGUGUGAAAUGAAAAAAAAAAUUGUAAACCAAUAGGACUAGUAAAUUGAAGGAGAAAUAGAUACAUUAAUAUUGGGAUGGUAAAUUGCUUUUGGAAAUUGUAAAAAGAAACUUAAAAAAUGACAAAAAAAACUUGUAAAAUGACAUUAAGUGCGAAAAGAAACAAAAUAUUAUAAAGCACACAUAAGACUAAUAAAUUGAAGGAAAAAGGGAUAAAUUAAUGCUAGAUUAAUAAAUUGGUCUUCAUAAUUAUUAAAAAAACUUAGAAAAAUGAUAUAAAACUUAUAAACUGACAUUAAGUGUAAAAUGAAAUAAAAGAUUUGUAAACCACACAUAAGACUAGUAAGUUAAAGGAAAAAAGAAUAAAUAAAUGUUGGAUUGGUAUAUUGAUUUUCAGAAUUACAAAAAAAAAUAAAAACUUAGAAAAAUAACAUAAAAUUUAUAAAUUUACAUUGAGUGUGAAAUGAAACAAAAGAUUUGUAAAUCGCAUAGGACUAGUAAAUUAAAAAAUAGAAGGGGUAAAUUAAUGUUAGAGUGGUAAAUUGGUCUUUAAAAUUGUUAAAAAAAGAAAAACUUAGAAAAAUAAGAUAAAACUUGUAAAUUGACAUUAAGUAUGAAAUAAGACAAAGAUUUUGUAAAUUAUACGUAAAAUUAGUAAAUUGAAGGUAAAAGUGGAAAAUUAAUGUUAGAAUUGUAAAUUGGUCUUUAAAAUUAUAAACAAAAUAAAAACUCAUAGAUGUUAUGUAAAACUUGUAAACCAACAUUAAGUGUCAAAUAACAUAUUAAUUUUGUAAAUCACUCAUAAGAUUAGUAAAUAUAACAUGUAACUUGAACUAAAAAUGAUAAUUACCUGUUAUUUAGGUAACUGAUUACUAUUUACUUAGAAUUAAUGGUAGUAAUUUUUUUUUCUAAUGGUCCAUGUCUAUUAUGGCAUUGAUGCUAUAAUUUUAUUUAUGGCAUUAUAGAAUGAUCCUAAAUAUAACAUAAUUUUCCAACUCAAGUCUCAGCUAAUGUGUUAUUCAUUUAUUAGAAGAUAUAAUAUUAUUUUAUUGAUUAUAAAAUUCAUUAUUUAAUAGAUAAAUGACAUAUAAUAAUUGGAACUCAAAUUUACACUCAACUAUUGUGAUAUCUAAUAUUAUUUUAAAAACUUACAUAUUGUGGGGGCUAAUAGCGCAACUCUUACUAAAAUAUUCUAAACUUAAAAAAUGUAAAGAAAACGUAGUAGGGGAAGGAUGGGCCAGUAGACUCAUGGGCUUCUCCUAUGGGCCAGGUCCAACCCCAAACCUCCUUUUUCGCUUGUUUCAACCCGACUUGAAAGCAAAGAUCAUUAGUGGGUUCUUUGUUCUAACUGGAAAAUGAAGAAAAGUGACAUGCAAUGAAGUUUGCCUGCAAGAGAUGUGGCGGGACUUGGACUCGUUGGAUUAAGGAACAGCACCGUACACUGUUGCCCUAUUCACAAUUUGUUGUGUUUAUUAAUAUUUGCUGAAUAAAUUCCAAUAUUGGAUAAAUUACAAUUUGUUGUGCUGCAAUAAAUUCCAAUACUUGUAAUUUUUUUUCCCAAUUAUUUGUUGUCCAAGAAACUAAUAAAUAAAAUAUGAAGUCACUGGCAUGUGCAGGUAUAAUAUUGAUUAAAUUUUUCAAUCUAAGAUUUUAAAGUAUGGAAAAAUUCGAAAAAAAUUUUAAAAUCGUGAAAUUUUAAAAUUUUUUCAGAUUUUUCCGCUUUUAAAAUUUCGGACCAGAAAACUAUCUAAUAUUCGCUUCGAUUUGGAAGAUAUUUUGCUGAAGGAUCAAUUGUGGGUAGUAAUUCUGCAAGCAUUACCAUGGCUCUAUUACAUUUCAUAAACUAUGCUAUAUAGUUUGAUUGAUAAUUUCAAAUUGGUUAAGUGUCUCAUUUAAUUCACUUGGACAUAUAACUCAAAAUAUCAUCCAGGUCAUGUGGAGGGGGGCCAAACACACAGAACAAAGGCAGCUUUCUAUCUUUUUCAUAUGUUGUAGUAUUAUUUAACAAUGUACAAGAGACAUGGGACCUUCAAUGCAAGAGCUUUCAAGUGCUCGUCAUUAUUAUUAUUAUUUUUUUGGGAUCCUUGACAAGAACAGAGUCAUUACUUUUAACCAUAUUUGAUAGACCACACAAAUUUUGUUGCUUUCGUUGGUUUGCUAGCGAUUUUUUUUAUCCAUGUGGAUUUAAAAGCGCGGGACAAGUAAAUGCUAUAUGUUAAUUAGGAAGACCUUUGAGGAAGACUUAUUACUAAAGUUUGUAGGCAAAUUUCCAGGAAAAAUAGGAGAAAAUUAACAUGCUGGGUUCUAUGCUUACUGCUACUAUUCCUAAUAACAUUUUAAGUAUGAUAAUUCGUGCAUAUUAGGACUAGACAAAUAACCCGACUUGAUACAAUCCAAUAUAAAAAGUUUGGCUUUGGAUUAAAUACAGAUGAAGCCUCUAAUCCAAUUGAGUGGGAUUUUGGCCAAUCUGAUCGGAUUGUAAACAAAAAGAAAAAAAUUAUUUUAGAUUAUUAUCUGGGGGAUAGGGAAAUAACCCAACUCAACCCCGAUCCAAUAGUAAUAGUUUAUUAAUUUGAUUUCAUAAUAGUCGUAUCCAUUUUUUGUUUGAAAUUUGGUAUAAAAAAAAAGAAAAAGAAAAAAAACUAAAAUGAGAUAAUUACAUCAAAACAAUCUUCUAGUAACUAAAAUAAUUUAUAACAAAUUCAAAAUAAACAAAAAAACUCAAAAUUACCCCUAAUCAGAAUAUUAAUCGAAUUCAUCCUAGUUGAUUAAAAUCUAAUUUUAACCCCGACCCAAUCCGCAUACAAUUAAAACCUGAUUCUGUCCAAACUCAAUAUGAAAUUUUGAUCCAAUCCAAAAUAUAGUUUGGAUUAAAUUACAAAUUUGAAUUGAAUUCGAAUUACUUUUUCUCAAUUUGAUUAAUCCAAAACCCAAUCAAGUUUAUCCAAAUAUGAUCCAAACGCAAAUUUACUCACCCCUAAUGUAUAUGCAUUUUAAAUUAUUUUUUUAUCUUCUAAAUUAUAUCUAUACUAGAAAAUAAAACCGCGCUUCACGCGGCUUUGAAAAAAGAAUUUAGUAUUAUUAUUUUUUCUUAUUUUACACUUGAUGAAACUGAUAAAAAAUAUGAAUUGAUUUUUUUUUAAGAUGAGUCAGCUUUAUAAACAACAAAAAAAGCUAUUAGCCAGCAAUACAAAUAAAGAAGCAACACAAGAUAAAGAAUAAAAUGAGAAAAUAUAUUAUAGAGUGAUUUUAUUCAUUCCAAUUGUGUGUGUACAAAACAAAAAGAUGAACUCUCCUGUUAUAGUUACAUAAUCACUCCAUGAAAUUAAUAAAAAAUUAUGGAUCAUAAUUCAUUGUGAGAUAGUGGGAGUUAUAGGGAAGCUAAAGGUUGCUAAUGAGAAAGUGGGGAGACUAAGAGAUAUAUGUUGUGAACAUCUAUAUUUAUUUUAAUAAAUUCAUAACACUUCUCCUUAAAUGUUCAUUACAAAAAAUAUGCCGCAUUAAAAUCUUUACAUAAUUGUUAUUGUGUAAUAACAAUCAAAUUAAUUAUGAGAAAAUGAAAAACUAAAUCUAAAAGAAAAUUUCUCUAUUAUUAGAUAAUAAAAAAUAUACAAAGAUGAGAAAUGGUGAUGCCACAUCACUUUCUCAAGUCUCAACUUUAUAUAUAUAUAUAGAUAUAUAGAUAUAGAUAUGUUAAGUCUUGUAUUUUAAUGGAUCUGCCUUCUGGUACUAUUCUUAGUUACAUAAAUGCUUCACCUUUUUUCAUGUAAGUCGCUGUUAUUACCCAUAUGGGUUUUUUUUUUUUCAUGUAGGACACUGGUGUGGUGACUUGUUUUCUACAACUUUUAUAUUUCAAAUUCAGCAUAGCUGUGAUCAAAAUCUUUUAUCGUAUAUAAUAGCCAAACCUCUCAACGUGUAGGACCUAAUGAAGAACACCAAGUCAUUCUUCACACUUUUCUUUGUACACCUUUUGACUAUGGUCAACUUUGAGGACUUCACCAAGUGACUUUAUUUAGCUGGCCACCCGACUUCAAAUCAUGGCUGAGAUAGGAGGAUAUAAAAUUAAUUUGACCUCUGUCCGGUGUCCACCCAUCAGAAUAAGACUGAUGUUUUGGUAUCAACCACGGCAGCAAUGGAGAAUAUUCCUUCUUUAUCUUGAUAUUAUGUUUUAAUAUGUGACCACCUCUGAAAACGACUUGAAAUUAACAACACAAGAAACGCUAGGCCCUCCAGACCUGCAAAAGCAAGGGAAAUGUAAGCUUGGGCAAAAGUCAUUGUUCAUCAAUUCAAUGAUACAAUUAGACAAAGAGGAAACAAUAGUGAAAAUUAUCUUUUAUGUUACUCUUUGACAACAAUCUGGGUAGAUUAGUUUUCUGUGGUAACCUUCUCUUGAUAUUACAUUUCCCUUAUGAGCUUUUGCUAUCAAGAUCACAGGGUUCUUUGGAAAAUUCUCACCUCAAGAUUAUCUCUCAAAGUAUAUUUUGAUCCCUUGUAUAAGUCUUCUUUGUCAAUAAUUUCUGUAACGAGAGUUUAGUAGUAACUCUUUCUGUUUUGCCCUUUGACAGUUGAAAAGCAUAAGAUUUCUGAAACCAAUCGAUUCUGUGUACUUGAUGUCAAUCAUACACAAACAUCAAAGUAAAAGAAAAAGAAUUUUAACUUAUGCAAAGAUUUGCAAAUACAUUCACAACCUAUAAGUCUUCACAAAAAAUACUUCCCAUACAUUUAGCUAGCCAAAACUUCUUUAUUGAUUGAGAUGUCACGCAAGGGGAAAAUAACUCUAUACAGUGAAUAGAGGGAUUAUCCUCUAAUUGUUAAAUCGUUGGUGGGAUAUUGUCCUAAGCAAAACUGAAGCAAAGAAAAACAAAUUUUAACUUAUCCAAGGAUUUGCAAAUACAUUCACAACCUAUAAGUCUUCACACAGAAUACUUUCCCAUACAUUCAGCUAGCCGAAACUUCUUUAUUGAUUGAGAUGUCACGCAAGAGAAAGUAACUCUAUACAGUGAAUAGAGGGAUUAUCCUCCGAUCAUUAAAUAGUUGGUGGGAUAUUGUCGUAAUCAAAACUGAAGCCGUCGAGUCUGUACUAGCUAAGUUCAAUGCGCAGUAGUUUCAAGUAUUGAACUUCUGCUCAGUAGUACUUGUUGAGGCCUGCAUCAUCCAAUUGAGUUAAGACAUUACUGUUAUUUUGCAAUUGUGUAUUCUUGGGCAUCAUUCUGCUCUGUGCAUCGGUAAUAAUACAGGCACUAAUCUAUGUUAAUGGAGACAUAAGUGGAAAAUGAAAAUAGAGAAAUGAAAAGAAGGUAUCACAUCACCACAAAGAUCCCAAUGUUCUUUGAAUUAAUGGAUUGUUAGAAAAUAUCAGGUGUGGAUGUAUAUGCAAGUUUCUAUCAAGUUUACUCUUCCAUGUCAAGCACAAAGAACAUACAUAUGCACUCUAUUUUAAUCAAUGAAAAAGUGAAUGUCCCGAAUGUAUCCAUGCUUAAUUAAACAUGAAGCCCCAAAAUGUUCUGGUGCUCAAUGUACCUAUCCUAUAUUUGUUUCAGAGCUUGUCAAGGGAGCUUUGGGGAAACAUACAAGAUUUGAGUAGUUUAACUGAGGUUUCUAAGGAAGAUCCUGAGGAGAAGGCUGAAUUUUAAAGAACUAUGUUAUUGAAUGUUCUCAAGUUCACAAAAAUUAUCAUCUGCUUUUCAGUCAUUUACAUUAUGUCGCAUCAAUAUUUUUUUUUCUAGAAACAAGCAGCUUCAAUGACUUAUUAUGUGUUGGGGAGAGAGGCAUUUCCAAGUCAUCCUUCUUUUACUUGCAGUUAAAUAAACUUUUAAAAUGCUGCUAAAGUGAACCUAUAUUUAGGAAACAAAAACUCACAAAUUCUGUUUAUACUAAGAAGAAAAUAUGAUUACUGACCCCAACUGCUGUCACAAAAUUGCAAACAGCACAUUUAACAGAUCGUGCUCCAUAUUGGUACAUCAGCAGCAUCCUGCAGUUCCCACAAUUGACGUGUGCAACCUGAUUUGCUGUCAUAAUAAUGUACAUCUGAUGCUUAUAACACUAAUAUGAACUCCAUUUACAAUGUUUCAAUCUUAAUAAUACUUGAGGAAAACUAAUUUAAAUUUUCAUUUCCAGGUAAUUAUAGGGCAAAACUUUGAAUAUCAUAUACCUUCCAAGGCUAGAUUAACAGUGUGACAACAAGAGCAUUGUACACUUGUUGCUCCACGUAUGUACAUGAGUAAGGUGUGGCAGCCUCCGCAGACCAACUGGGCCAUUUCUGUGCCUAUUUACGAUUAAUCACAUCAAAGAAAUUAUGCUCAGAUGUUAUAUAGUUGUUAUUUUUAAAUUUAAAAAGAGAAUAUAUCACUUAACAAAUAAGUAAACUGGAAUUUCAAAUUGACGGAAUAUUUCUGGGUACAUGAGCCAGAAGAAAGAGAGGAAAUAUACCUGGGGGUGGCACCGCAGUUACUGCAUUGCAAACAGCACAACAUACGGAAGUCGCUCCAACUGGAUAGAGCAAGAGAUUUCUACAUCCAGAACAAACAAGCUGGCUCUGUGCACCUAGUAAUCAAUAUUUAUUCUUUAUAGACCAUAGCAUGGGCUAUCGAUGUGAAAGUACAGGUUUUCAGGGUCAACAAUACAGGUCUCAAGCAAUACAUCCUUUAUACUUUAAGCAAUAAUACAGGAAAGUAAUUGUAUCGAAUCGACUCUUCAUCAUCAAUUGGAGAAUAUGUUAAAUAUUAAAUUCUCAUACUGAAAUGUUUUGUCUUUCAUCCUCUCUAAUUGCCUAUGUAAAUUAACCACCAGAGGAACUUUUAACCCUUCUAAUUUACCUGUUCUAUUAUUAGGUAAAUUUAAGAUCCUAAUAUCUUUUUCUAGGAUCUUGAACAAAGGUUUUUAACUUUUUCACCUGAAAUCAAAGAGGUACGCAUUUGACAUUGGUGUAGGCAAAAUAAUGUUAAUGUGACAAGAAAGAUACCAUUAGCAGGAGGAGUAUAUGGCGCUGGAGGUGUUGGAUAAGGAGCAAGAGGAACUGGCAUUGCAAUAUCUUACAGUUAUUGUCUUUCUCUUCCAAGCUCCUAAAAGUUUGUUGCCUCAAAAACAGAAAAGAUCAAUUCUUCCUCCCAUUUUGACCAUGCCUGUGUACAAUUUAGGAAAAGAAUAAAAAAAGGAAACAGAGCAGAAACAAAUUAUACCAUUCUGAAGUAAGAAUAAGUAAAAGAAUGUGCAAUUGACAAACUUCCUCUGGAGAACAUAAGAGAAGGCUACGCUGGAUUCAUUCAGAAAAACGAAAAUUGAUCAAACCAAUGAAAUUCAGUCGAGUAGUGUGAACUGUGAAGUGGGCCAAGCAUAUACCUUUGCAACUUGCAGAUGAAGUGGAGACUGGAAAGAAGGAGAAAAAAAGAGUGGAUAUACUACAAAGUUAUACAACUUUGGCGAUGGAGCUUGUAAGUGAAUAAGUCUUGUAAUAUUUUAAAAUCUCUCUUUUUUUAUUAAAAAAAAAAAAAGGUGGUUGAGUUAUUGAUUUAAAGAGAUCUUUUUCCUAAACUUUUUAAUAUUACACCUUUAAAAGAUUAUGUUUACAUACUAAUGUGUAAGAAAAUAUUUAUAUACGAUAAAAUAUUAGAUAAAAAUCUUGUUUAGAAUUAAGAUGUUAACUAUUGUGUAAAAAAACUAUAAGCACAAAAUAAAAAUUAAUAAUACGUAGUAAAUAUAAAUUUUAAAUAAUAAUAUUGACAAAAUUAUUAAAAAUAUAAUAAAUUUUUUAUUAUACAAGUGAAAAAUCAUAUCAACAUAUCUUUUAAGGUACAACAAUUAGUGUUUAUCAAAUACUUUAGUACUGUAUUUUUUAAGUUAUAACUGUUCAACUUCAAUUUCAAACGCACUCAAAAGAUUACACACAUUAAAAUAUGAUAAAAAUAAGAUGAAGAUUUGUAUGCAUAAUAAAAUAUAAGUACAUUUUUUUAUUAGAUAAAUAAAAAAUGAUAUCUUAUUCUUUUAUACAAGUAAGAAUCUAAAAAAUUAUAAUUUUAGUUGAAGGGUCAAGAUUCAACAAGCAUUAAACAGAGUUCUUCUUACCCAAAUUUGUCCAUCUCUUUUUUUUCCUUAUUGUCUGGCUUCUUCUUUUUUUUAAAAAAAUUCUUUUAACCUUAUUAACAUUUAUUGUCAAACAAAAGCAACAGUGAGCUUUCAUUAUUCAACUUUUUAGUCCAUAGAUUGAUAGACAGCUCUGGUGGUUACGUUCAUUAGUGCUGGUGGAAUAUCAAGAUCAACAUUGUCUGCAAAAUUGACUCUUUGCUUGCUCGUGAGCGUGCAUUCAACAGCCAGCCACACGCAAUGGUCCUCUCAAAUAGGAUAAGGAAGGGUUGAAACAUAGCCACGUCAACUCAAAAUGAGAAUCUCGGCCGUCUUUCCAGCAAUGGACUGGUAAACAGUAACUUUACUGAGCCUGGGUGGUCCAUCGCGUUCAUUAUGCUUCUUUUGGUUAAUCUUUGAUUUAUCUCUCUUGUGCCAAUAUGACCAAAUCUCUUUUAAGUGGAAAGACGGUCGGUAGUUUUAGAUUUUUUAGCGAAAUUUUCAUCCUCAAGCCCGUACAAUUAUAUAAAUAUCACCAUCAUGAACCUCCGCUGAUUGAACAUUCCAGACUAAUUAUUUGUGGAUGUUUAAUGGUGAUGCAUUGACCGAUACCUCCGCCACCACUCCGCAGAAGAUCGAUCACCGCUGAAGUAAUUAGUGGCGGCGGUGUUGGUCACUUCUGCCAUUAAUUUAACGAUGACAUUAUAAAUAUCACCAUCAUAACAAUCAUAUUUGUAUGGUUGCUAAUAUAUGGUAAACGAAAAUUCCGAAAGGGCUAAAUUUAGACAACGAUAAAUGACAAUACCGAGUGGAGGAUGGUGGGAGAUGAUUGGUGAUGAUAAGGUAGAAUAUUGUUGAUUUGUCAGCAAGUAACUAUUUUUCCGUAAUUAAUGAUAAAUAUAGAGAAAAUUAACAUUAAAAAGAAUAUUAAUUAAGCAAACAUUAAAUAUACCUAUCUAAACCGAAGGGAAAGUUGUGUUUAUUUGAUAGAUUAUGAUUCUCUUCUAAUAUGAGUUCUCGUGACCACCUGUAUUUUAUUAUUAGUGUAUGACUAUAAGAUUUAACUACCUUUACUUUUUAAUUCAUUAAUCACUGAUCAUAUUAAUACAAUUUGCUUAAAAAAUAUCAAAUAAUAAGAGGAUCAUAAUCCUUAUUCAUAAAUUUUAACAAACCAAGUAUUUUAUAGAAAUACCACCUAUAUGAAUAAAUUGAGUUAUCAUCGUAUUUAUGAAUAAAUUGAAUUGUCAUCAGAUUUAUAAAGAAGACAACUUAAUUAUAGAUGGUCUAACUAAUUUGGAUUUAACGUAUGGAGAAUACACAAUUGGUAGAAUUCAUCUCCUCAAUGAAUUCAUAAAGGCUUAAUUACAUGAAGAUGCUUGAGGAACUUCCAAAUAUAUAUAUAUAUAUUUUUCAACUUGGAAGUUUUUCCUAACUCUAAUCCUUAUUUAGUUAACUUAAUUGCAACACCAUCCACUAUUCCCUCUCUCGAAUUAAACAUAUCCCAUUAAAAUUGAACUCUAUUCUUCCUUUUACGAUAAAAGACCAUCAUCAACUGAGUGUUAUAUAUAUAUAUAUAUAUAUAUAUAUAUAGACUAAGUGAUGAAUUCAAAACCUGGGCACCUAAAACGGCAUAGUUUUAAGCUAUUAAAUGUUUUAAAGUGUCACGAGUUGGGCAUGUUUCUCAAUUAAGAUUCCAAAGUAUGAGAUGAAGACGUUUUGAGCUGAGGUUAAGUGAUGCAAUGUGAUGAGGCGCGCGAGGGAAGAAUCAAGUUAGUUAACAAGUUGUUAUCCACAUGGCUGAAUCUGGUGCAAUCUGGGUUUGUUCUCAUUUGUUAUAUAAGCUGAUCAUCGAAGCGGUUUCAUAACCAAUCUGAGAGCAUUCUAGAGAGAGAAAGUUUCAUCUUAUUCCUUGUAAUCUUCCUUAUAAUUGCUCUGUAAUAUCUUCCUGAAUCAUCAAUAAAUCUCAUUCUUGUGACUUUUCCUGUGGAUGUAGAUUGUGCAUUCUUGCACAAUUGAACCACGUAAAUCUGUCUUCUUUGAUUGUUUGUUUGAUUCUUAAAUCAGUUCAUUUCUUAAAAGUGUUGAUUAAUCAUAGAAUCAUCUAAGCUGAUCUAUUGGUACAUAAGCAUCUUCUAUUGAUGUUGUUUGUAAUAUUGGGCAGGUGAUUGAAUUGCUUGGAGUUUUUUGAAAGCAUUCAUUCAACACCAACCAAGAUCAAUGGACCAAAUUAAAUGUUGAUUUUAUGUUUGUAAUAAUAAAAUUAAAAAUUAAUGGACCCCACAACAUAUUAUUAAUUACAUUUUAUUCUAUUUUUCUCCAUAAUUAAUAUAAUUUAAUUCUCUCUAUCUUUAUCUUGCAUUAAUACAAGCACAAAUAACAGAUAUAAAAUCGGCACCAUUCAUUGACAAAAAAUAGUGAUCAACAUGAAAGAAGAAACCAAAAUUUUGAGCAUGCCAUGGCGUUUGUUUUGGAUUAUUAAAUGAAAUGAAUGUCAAAGAUUACUAUAUAUAUAUAUAUUGCUUAAUAAAGUUAGAAUAUUUAAAAGAACUAUCAACUAGAGAUGGCCAACGGGCCGUGCCAUGCUGGCUCAGGCCCAUCAAAGGAAGUCCACACGUGCUCGUGCUCAUGCCAUGCCGUGCCCACUAUUCAUUUCGUGCCAUGCUAGUUCAGCACACGUGCUCGUGCUCGUGCUGUGCCCACACGUGACGUGCCUAGGAAAAAUAGUCCACUAAGCUUUUUUUCCUUUUUUAUUUUUUUAAGAGCACAUGCCAGUUGCUAUCUUAUUUUUUUAAGCAUAUGUACCUUUUUUGGAUCCAUGUGCCUUUAUUUAAAUUUAAUAGAAUAAAAAAUUCAAAACUCAAGUUCAUAUUCAAUAAUAAUAAUAAUAAUAAUAGAAGAAUGUAAUAUUAGUUGCUAAGUUUGACUCUAUGGUAUUAGAAUUCUUUUUUAGUACUUAACAAUAACAAUAAUAAUAUUUUUUUUUAAGAGUUAACUUAAUUGUUAACUUGAAAUUACGUAGAGUCAUAUAUCAUAGUUUAUAAUAAUAUUAAUAUAUAUUUAUAAAAUCAUGAUAUUUAUAAUUUUAUUUAUUAAAAUCAUGAUAUCAAUUAUUUAUUUAAUAAAUUAUAAACAUAAGUCAAUUAUAAUUUUUUUGAAAAUAAGAGUUAAAUAAAUUUAAAAAACUUGAGCCAAUAAAAUAUAUUAAAAGAUUCAAUUUCAAGUUAUUUAUAAAAUCAUAAAAUUUUAAGUUUACUUUCAUUAAAAAAUGAAACAUGCUUAUUGCGUGCUUUUUCGCGUGUCGUGCUUUGGCCCAUCUCUAAUCAUGCCGUGCUUUGAAGGCUCGCGUGCCUAAAAUCUAAGCCCGGCACGACCCACGUGCGUGCCGUGCCGCGUGCUCUGCUGAGACGUACUCGUGCCGUGCCGUGCCUUGUGCCGUCCGGCCCAUUGGCCACCUCUACUAUCAACCAAGCCUUCUACGGAAUCUCCAUCGAUGAGUGAUCCUAACACUCCGUACCUUCUUUUUCCAAUCGUCUUUUCGCUACUUUAUCUUGUUUUGACAUUAACAAUUGACAGUACAAAUAGCAAAAUUCUGACUUUUUACUAUAUGAUUUGUUGGGUUAUUGAUAAUUAAAAGAUUAAACCAAUUAAUUAUUUGUCAUUCUUUUUCAACAUGAAACUCUAUUUGAUUCAAUCACUGGCUUUUACAAUAUUAUGGUCAUGCGUCCUCCAUAUAACAUGUAACUCAAUUUGGAGCUUUCAAAUUUUGUAGCUAUCAAGCUUUCACUAGUUUUCUUUGAUUUAAAGAAUAAAAAUUAACAGAAGAUAUUUAAUUAAAGAUAUUUCAUAACUUCCAUGGGCAUGUUUAACAAGACAAAAAAGUCGAUUUUGUAUUUAACCUUUUCAUUUUCAUUUUCUAUUUAGUUCCUUAAUAAAUUUCCUUUUAAGAACAAAUUCAGUUCCGGAGGUGUUUAUAAUAUUGGUUCCUUUUAAAUGUUUUUGCGUGCUCAUUUGUAUUCACGACAAGCCAAUAAAUUGUAAGAAUAGUUACUUUAAUUAUAGAAAGAAUCAAAAUCAUAUUAAUUAUAGAGAGUAAAUAGGGAAAGAGAAGAAAAACAAUUAAAAAUAUGUUAAGGGGCCCCUUAAUUUUUAAUUUUUUAUUAAUGAAAAUAAAAAUAAGGAUUCAAUUUGAUCCAUUGAUUCACUUGGUAUUGCAAGGCUAAGAUUUUACAUUUAUCUUGAUCCACUCCAAGAUCUUAGAUGUUGUUAAAGUGUAGGAAAGAUAUAAUAUUAUACAAUGUAAUAUGGUGUAAUAAUUUUUUUAGACUUUAACAAAGUCAGGAUCUUACACCAAAUUAGUACUAUAAUAAUAAUAACAACAACAACAACAACAACAACAACAAUGAGGGAAUCAUAUACUUUAUUAAAGUAUGGAAUCCUCUAAAGAACAAUAAAAACAUAUACUCCAAUACAUUGCAUUAGAAUUUAUGCUUUUUUAAUCUUACAAUUUAUCGAUUAAAGUAAGGAAUUUCUUAUUAUUUAUAAAAAAAUAUUUUAUUUUAAAGGAUUAAAAUGUACAUUAAAAAAAACUACAUUUAUACUUAUAUUUACAAUUUUAAGUCAACCUGGCCUUCUAAUAUAAUUAUAUGAUAAGACAUGUAGUCUAGGUAUCGAGGUAAAAAAUAGAGCAAAUAUACUUUCAAAUAUUUAAAAGAAAUUCAAUCUCCAAAAAGUACAAGCAUUGAUUCCACCACUACCCUCGUAAGGAUAAAGAAGGUAAUUACUAAUUAAAUGUCAAACAAUAAUAAUUUUCUUAAAAUAGAACAAGAGAAGUUGAUAUGCCAAAACUUUUACGUACAUAUUUUUGUUUAGGGAAUAUUAUUAAAUACCCACCAAAAGUUUCUUGACAUAUCAAUUCACCACCAAAAUUUUCUGACAACUACAUUUUACCACAUAAUGUUUCUAUUGACAUUAUUUUACCAUUAAAACCUUAACCUUAUAAAAAAGUUCCUAAGGUCACAGGGAUAUUUAAGGAAUUUGAAGCUAAAGUUAUUUUUUAGAUUUUUAUUUUUUUCUCUCGACAUCUGAUUUACGAACCUUUUAUUUCUUUUUUAAAGUUAUUCGAGUUUUAUUAUAUUAAGAUAUUUCCAUAAUAAAAUUUUAGGUUUUUUGACAGAAUGACAGUAAUCGAAAAUUCUUAUGUAUCUAUAAACAAACUAAUUCAUAUAUUAUUUUCACUCGUACAAACAAACUUCACCAUAUUAAGCUCAAUUAUAAUGAAAUUUCCAAAAUAAUUCACAUAAUUUCAUCGGUUUAAUUAUAAUUGUAAUUAAUAUGGUGAAAUUUGUUUGUACAAGUGAAAAAUAAUAUCAUGAAUUAGUUUGUUUAUAGAUGUAUGAAAAAUUUUCAAUUAAUAUCACUCUGUUAGAAAACGUAGAAUUCUAUUUUGGGAUAUUUUAAUAUAAUAAAAUUAUAAUAAUUAAAAUAAAGAAUGGCUCGUAAAUUGGAUGUCUAGAAUAAAAUAUACAAAUCUGUAAAAGCUCUAGAAAAAUAGAAAAAUAAUUUCAGCUUGAAAUUUCUCAAAUACCCUUAGUAAUAUUAUAACAAUAUUUAAGUUCCAAUGAUAAAAUGAUAAUGGCCAAAACAGUAGGUUGCAAAAUAUAGUUAUAAAAAAAAGUUUUAGAGGCCGUUUGUUUUUUUAAUUUAAUGACUUAAUUGACUUAAUUUUAGUCAGCUUAAUGAAAAUUUUAUUUUUUCAACUUAAUGAAAAUUUUCAGCCAUUAAGUCAUUAAGUUAUUAAACUAAUUUUUUUAACUUUUUGCUUAAUCUAAAAAGUUUUAAUGAUAUCAUUAAAAUAUAUUCUCCAAAAUAUCCCUAUCUAAUUAAUUAAUUUUUCAUAUUUACCUAAAUAGAAUUUAAUAAUUAGCAUUAUUACCCAUCUCUAUAUAAGUUGUGAUAAUAUAUAGUGGUAGACUAUUAUUAUUUUUAUCUUUUUAUUUCUUUAAAUUAGCACUAUUUAUCUACAUAAUUUUUUAUGAAUAUUUUUUAUAUAAAAAUAUCAUAAACUAUAAUAAAAUUGGUUAACAUAUAUAAUGUAGAAUAUUAAAGAGUUGUAUUCAAUUGAAUAUGAUUUAUGUUAUGAUAAUAUAUUAUCUUAUUUAUAUUCUUUGAAAUGUUUAUUAUUUUUUUAUCAUUUAUAAUUUGUAAGGGUAUAAAUGUAAAAAUAUUAGUUUUCAAAUUUUUUAAGUUAAAAAAACAAUUUAAUAGUUAUUUUUAGUGAUUUAGACAAAAAAACAAAAGAGUCGGACUAUUAGUACCCCUCUCAAAUUCUUUUAAAACCCAUUUUUCAAUUAUAUUUCAUUUAAUGCCAAAAGUACCCUUUUUCUAAAUAAACACUAUUUUCAUUUAUAAAUCCUGUAAUUUCUAAUCAUUUUCUCACUCAUUCAGUCUUAAUAAUUGCAUUCAUCUCUUCAAACUUUCUUUAUUAUUUAAUUUCUAAAAAAAUAACUAAAAGAAAAAGUAAGAAAAACCUUAUAAAAUAUUAAAUAUUUUAUGGGUUCAAUACAAUUUUAUUGUACAUAUAAAUUUUGGGUGCAACAAUUAGUUUGAGAAUCCUUAAAAAAAUAUUUUUAGUGAGAUAAAAUUUUAUUUAAUUUAUUUUAUCACAAUGUUGUAUCCUAAUUUUGUUGCUAUAUAUAUUACAAGAGUAUUAUUUUGGCUUUAAAAAGUGCUUCUUAAAUUUAGAUUAUUUUAAUGAUAAAAAAAUUUAUAGAUUACUUCUUAAAUUCAGAUAAUUUUAAUGAUUACAAAAAUAUAUAUUGUGCAAGUAAAAUGAAAUUGAAGAGAGAAAGAAAAUAUAAAUGAGAUUAAUUUUAUUUAUAUUUGUCCUUAAAUGUAAUUAUAAUAUCAAAUGAGUUUUAUAAAAUCAAUGAAGGGGUGCUAAUAGUCCAACUCAAAACAAAAAUAUCAUUCAGAUUCAGACAUUCAGUUCUAUUCAGAAUUUAAACUAAUUUAAGUUUAUUCAAAUUUCAGAAAAAAAAAAAACACCAUCUUAGUUGUGAAUUGACAUGUCAAUAAAUUUGUGUAUGGGUUUUUGAUAAUAUUCCUUUUAUUUAUUUCUUUAUUUUGGCUACUCUUGGCAUCAAAUGCUCAAAUAACGCUUCUCACGUUUAAAACAUUAACAUUAUCCGUUAGAACUUUAGUCAAUUCAUUAAUUGUUGCUUCAUCACCAUACUUGAGAUCAUCAAUGAUGAUUGUCCACUGCACGCAGCAAUUGCAAUUUAGAAUGCAGAAUGGCUAAAUCCUAGAAUUUAGAUAAAUAAAAUCCCCGCAUAGUCUCCUUCGCAUAAAUUUUCGGUCCUACGGAUUUAUUUUAGGAGGAAAAAAGAUUGCCAAUCCAAUUGAAAUGAAUUGAAUGAUGGUGCACUAUAUUCUUUCAGUAGUAUCUGACAUUUUCAUCUCAAGAAUUGAGGUUACUUUAUUUAGUAAACGAUCGAUUCAUAAUUUCUAAAAUUAUUAAGGUCCUAAUCACCUCACAAUUUAUACUUGAUAAUCAAUUAUUUGAUGAUUGUUAGAGUAAUAGGUCCAAAAGAAAAAUACAAAUCAAUAGUGAUCAAUAGUGCUUGAUAAAAUUAAUUGAUAAAUCAAACAUAAUUGAGAGAUAAAUUCUCAAAUAAAUGUGAAAAUCAACCAUAACCCUAAAUAUAUUUUCAUUCUACCAUCCAAAUAAUGAAUAUGAAAAAAAUCAUCUCAUUUCAAAUGAAUAAUAUUAAAAUAUCAUGAAUAUGAAAAAUAUCAUCUCAUUUCAAAUGAAUAAUAUUAAAAUAUCAUGAAUAUGAAAAAUACCAUCUCAUUUCAAAUGAAUAAUAUUAAAAUAUCAUGAAUAUGAAAAAUACCAUCUCAUUUCAAAUGAAUAAUAUUAAAAUAUCAUUUAAGUGUAGUAUUAUUCUAAUUAACAUAUAAAGUUAAAUAACAGGAUUUAUAUCUUCAUUGAGUGGCAUCUAGUCUGGCACAUGUACAAAAUCGCUGUCUUGAUGGGAGAUGAUAUAUUAGAUAACUGCUUAAUACAAAACAAUUAAGUAUGGAGCAUAUUCAUCACAUUAACUUUAAGGGCAAAUGCCCAUUAUAAUUCUCAAAGCACUUCUAUUACUAAAUAUGUUAUAAUUCUUUCCUCACUUUUUUUACAAUAAUACCCUUCCAAUAAUAUUUUUAAUAUUAACUAAUUUAUCUAUAAAAAUAUUAAUUAACAAAUUAACCAAUGAUUAAAUAUUAGCAAUUAACCAAUAAAUGUCAAUGUGAAAUGAAUUAGUAUCUUUUUAUACUUGUGCAACAAUCUUACUAAUACUUAUUUAUAAAUAAAUUAAUAUCAGCUAACUUAAAUUAAUAUUUAAUAUUCUUACGACAAUCUUACUAUUAGUUAUUUUAUAAAAAAAAAGUCAUUCUAUAAUGCCGUAAUUAAAAUCACGGCAUCAAUACUGUAAUUUAAUAUAAAUUAUGUAAAUGAAAUAUAAGAAAUGUAAAUUUAACAUAAAACUUGUAAAUCAACAUUAAGUGUAAAACAAAACAUAAAUUAUGUAAAUAAAACAUAAGACUUGUAAAUGGAAGGUAAAACAAUUAUCAACAUAAGAGUGGUAAAUUGAUACAUAUUAGUAAAUAAAGCAAAAACUUAUAAAUAUAACAUAAAACUUGUAAAUCAACAUUAAGUAUAAAAUAAAACAUAAAUGAUGCAAAUGGAACAUAAGACUUGUAAAUGAAAGGUAAAAUAAGUAAAUUAACCUAAGAGUCAUAAAUUGAUAAAUCAUUGGUAAAUAAAACAAAACUUAUUAAUAUAACAUAAAAUUUGUAAAUCAACAUUAAGUUUAAAAUAAAACAUAAAUUAAGUAAAUAAAACAUAACACCUAUAAAUAGAAUGUAAAAUAAGUUAAUUAACAUAGAAAUAGUAAAAUGAUGUAUUAUUAGUAAACAAAACAUAAAUUUACAGAUAUAACAUAAAACUUGUAAAUCAACAUUAUGUGUAUAAUAAAAUAUAAAUCAAGUAAAUAAAACAUAAGACUUGUAAAUAGAAGUUAAAACAAGUCAAUUAACAUAGAGGAGUGGUAAAAUGAUGUAUUAUUAGUAAACAUAAUAUAAUUUUAUAGAAAUAACAUAAAACUUGUAAAAUAACAUUAAGUGUAAAAUACCAUACAAAUUAUAUAAAUGAAAUAGAAGACUUGUAAAUGAAAUGUAAAAGAAGUAAAUAUUUAUAGGACUAAUAAAAAAAANNNNNNNNNNNNNNNNNNNNNNNNNNNNNNNNNNNNNNNNNNNNNNNNNNNNNNNNNNNNNNNNNNNNNNNNNNNNNNNNNNNNNNNNNNNNNNNNNNNNNNNNNNNNNNNNNNNNNNNNNNNNNNNNNNNNNNNNNNNNNNNNNNNNNNNNNNNNNNNACUUUAGAUUGAUUUUCUAGCCCUUCUUGUAUUUCAAAAAUCGUCCUCUCCGAUGCUCACCACCUCGUUAGCUCAAUCAAGUAUAUCAAGGGUGGUUCCUCCUCAUUCAAGCCCAUCUUGAAUAUUGGUCUCUUGCAAAUUGAAAUUGCAUUGAAUUCAUCCAAAGUAGCUUGAACAAAUCAUUGCUUUGCUUCCUUGAUCUUCUUAGCUCGUGCUCUCAUAAUUGGCCCUUUUGGAACAAGCAACAAAUCUCUAAUGCUCUGAGCACUCUAGAUCACAUCAUUCUUGACGGCAAUCCCAAAUGAUCUUUUAGUAUAAGUAAGAAGUAAUGUUUGAAACUACAUGAAAUAUGUAUAAAACUAAAAAUUAUAUCCAAUUUUAUUGAUAUUAUAUAUAUCUGGUAAUAUAAGAAUGUAUUUUUAUUUUGUUUCGGCUUGAUCCAUGUCAAGAAAAAUAAGUUUGCUUAAUUAUCUUGCAUGGUAAACAAAUACUAUGAUAGAAAAUGAAAAAAAGAAGUUUAUAAAUGUCCUAGCAUGAAUAUAGAACUCAUGGUUAAACCAAUUUAGUAAAACUUAUUUCAAUUGUUUUCAAUUGAUGAGAAAUUUUUUUCUUUGCUCAAAUAAAUUAAACAAGUAAACUAAAUUAAAUAAGUAAACUAUUUUCUAAAUUAAACUUUAAUGUUGAUUAAUAAUUUUUAUAUUACUUUUAUAAAUAUUUGUUUUGUUUAAAAUUUUAAAACACUAAUUUACCACUCUUAUAUUAAAUUAUUUUUAUCUUUUAUGUUCUCGCCUCCCAACCAAACACCACCUAAAGGUUUAAAAUAAGCUUAGAGAAAACAACAAAAGAAAGCCGAAACAGGUCCAUGGAUAAGAUUGCGAAGAAGAAAUGGACCACUUUGCUUUGUUUGGCUUGGCUUUUUCUCCUCAAUCUAACUUGAUGCCAGCGGGAUAUUCCUGCCAUUGUUCUAGAAAACUCCAUCAAUAAUUCAAACUGUGAUCUGGACCGGCUCAUAGUUUUUUAUUUAUAAAAAAAAUUAAAAAAAAAAGUUGAAAAUGAAAGAACAAGAAGAAGAAAUAAACAAGAAAAGCAAUUGUUGUACAAAAACGUGAUAAAAAUUAUUGUUCACUGCAUGAAACACAUGCAAUCCACCAGCACAUUUUUGAGUGCCGUACACACCGACAUUGAUUUAGAUGCACAGAACCUUUUUUUAAUGAGUAAAUGCCUGGAAUAGUCCCUUCUCAAAAAAAAAAAANNNNNNNNNNNNNNNNNNNNNNNNNNNNNNNNNNNNNNNNNNNNNNNNNNNNNNNNNNNNNNNNNNNNNNNNNNNNNNNNNNNNNNNNNNNNNNNNNNNNAGACGCUUGGACAUGUGAACAUUUUCGACAUCUAUUAUAAUUUUAGAGAUAUUAAUUAAUUAAUCUAACAAAAAAUUAAUUAAUAAAUUAACCAUAAUUAUUUAUUAUUAAAUUAGCCAUUAAUUAUCAGUCCGAAUAAAUAAGCAUUUUUCAUACCCUUACAACAAUAUUCUAAUUAUUUAAAACAAAUCAAUACUAACAAACUCAAAAUAAUGUUUAAUAUCUUACAAUUAUAAUCUUGCUAAUAACUAUUUAUGAAAAAAAUUAUUUUAUCAAAUUAAUCCUAACAAUAAAAUAAUAACAAAAAAAUUUACAAUUAUUUUUACUUUACUUUUAGGUUAGUUUGUUAAUUAAUUAAUUUUUAUAGAUAAAUUAAUUAAUAUCUUUAAGAAUAAUGUUGAAAGGAUAUUAUUAUAAAAUCAAAGAAAAUAUAAGAACAUGACAAUAACAAAUUUAACAACAGGCCUCUUUGAGAUUUUUGUCAAAAUAUAAAAACUAAACAAAUACUUAAACAAAAAAUACAGCGAUUAAACAAGUGUCUGUAUUUUUUAUUUGUAAUUCAAGAGCCACAGACUAUUUUGUACAAACUAAUUUACCACCACUACAAAUUUACAAUUCGAUAUCGGUUUUGAUAGCUUAAAGGAGGAUGACGGAAGGAUUGCAUCAUCCAGAGGAGAACAAUCAUUAAUCACAUCAAUUCACUUGAAACAGACAGCACCCAUCUCGGCUGCUAUCUUUUUAACCAAAUUCAGAGACAACUAUUUAGAUAAGCCAUAAGCUACUUCACUGAGGAGGAGGCAUCAACGUGUUUAAAGAUCUUGAUAGAAAAGAAUUGAUACAUGCUGCGGCCGAAAAAUUGGACUUGGUAAAGGAUAAUACCAAAGUAUCCUCAGAGUGAAAUCUUUGCAAAUUGGGGGCUAUCAGAUAAUUUGAUUCAAACUGAAAACAACCUUCCUGCACAACUAAUAGCAGCAGCUACAGAUGUUAUACGGUAUUAUUAAACAAAGAGCCCAAACAACAAUCUAUUUUGUCCUAAUUUAUAGAGCAUUUACAUCAGAUGCAGACAUUUCAAUUUCUGAGCUAUCCCAUAGACUUUAACCCACUGUCCUAUUCCUAUAUGUGCUGCAAUUCAACUUUCAAGUUUCAACCACAAUCCUCAUCCCGUGGGAAAAUAAGAGUUCAAGGGUGGAAAUGGGUGGGAAAAUAAGAGUUCAAGGGUGGAAAUGGAUAGCAAGGAUGGCAAAUAUUUUGGCAAUCAACAAAACAAAAACAAAAGCGGUUUCAAAUUCCAAACAAAAUUUCAGAUUUGAAACCAGGGUUUUUCUUCUGACACUCACAUCUCUGGAAAUGUCUGGUCUUUUCUCAAGAGAAGCGAGAAUCAGUGAACACUACAUGCAUCUAACCCAUUGCGAGAAUGCAGUGGUCCUUCAUGUUUCUCUAAAAAUAUAUGGAUAACUCACACUCAUUGGGAAUCAUUUGAAAAUGUGCAUUUUACACCCAACAAACAAUCUUGAUCAGAUAAAGGUGAUAAAACUUUUAGUGUUGAAUUGAAUAACUAAGAUAAUUAAUGAACAUAUAAAACAAUCAAAAUAACCAAAGUUUGAACACACUGGAAUUGCAACAGAGAAGUGCUCUAGGAGACAGCCAGUUGAUUUUGCCUCUUGCAAUGGAAGCACGAGGUUACUGGACCUUGGAGGGGGGUAAGUUUAAUUUGAGGAUAAUAUGAAGGGGAUGCAUGGUGACUACAUAUAAAGAAAAUAUUUGAAAACAAAAAUCAACAAUCACAAUAUCAAAACAUUAGAAGAGAACUCCAUUGAAAUCCUCUGAUCAUAUAAUUCUAAUUGACAUCUAAUUUAAUGACAUGCUAUGGAAAAGAUAACCUUUGCCUGUCAUUUUGCAAGUAAAAUCUGUGGAUGCCAAGAGAAAGAAGUUGGGCCACAUUGGAACAAUUAUCAUCCUCUAUUUAUAUAUAUAUAUAUAUAUAUUUUCUGUUCUUUUUAAAAGCAUACAAUUCUCACUGUUCACUUUUGGUAUUCUGUACAAAUAAAUAUCCAGGAAGCGGAUAGUGUGAUAACUUACUCUUCAUCAGUUUCAUCACUGGGACUUCCAUAAACAACAGAUAAAUAGCAGCCUAAUGUUCUAAGAGAGAGGCCAGGGAACCUGUGACAACUGCCUGGUCCCAGAUCAAUCUUAACAAAUGGCCAUUGCAUGGCUUGUGCAGCUUCACCCUCUUCCCAUCCAUCUCCAAUCACACAAAACUGGACAUUUGGGUUGUUGAAACGUUCUUUGAUCCAUUGAAAACAUUGGAGUUUCCCCACUUCCCAUGAGCUGUAAACUGAAAAAAGAAACGGUGUCAGCAUCCUUAUUCUAGCUAUCUCUCCUUUUUUUUUUAAAUUUCCCUAAAUCAAUUAUAAAGAAUCAUGAACGUAGGAGCAACUUAGUAUAAGGUUUGUAAAAAAGAAGUCAAUAUCAAAACUUAUUAUCUAAACUGCCACAAAUGUCACAUCCCAUUAUGGACAUAGGGCAGUAGAACAAUAUUUAAAUCAUAAUUUAAAAAAAAAUAUAUUUAUUCAUAUAGGAGAGCAUUCCAUCGUCAUCUUAUGUAAAUGUCCCUUAUUACAUAUGUAUUUUUAUUCAGUCGGAUAUACUAGAAACACAAGAGAAAGGUUGCCCCCACUAGAAGAUAUUUAUUCCAUUUAUAACGUGGUUGAAAAAUACAAUAUAAGUUACUUUCGCACUCACAAGCUUUCAUUCCUGGAUAAAGGGACUCAAUAAUUGCAUUUCUCUAACAUAAUGUAUUACCAUAUGUUUCAUUGCAAAAAUACAGUGAAACAGAAUCUUCACUCACCAGUGAUACAGCACACAAGAAGCAAAGACAAAACUGUUGCACUUUACCAUAUCACUGCCAGAUAUAAAUCCAAUCUUGGAUUCAUAUCCACCAAUCUGUAAAGUUCGUCAUUAGUUUUUAUCCUAGGCAAUUUGGAUUUCUAAUGACUCUCUCAAAUCAGCACCCUCCCAUUCAUGCAACAUCCGUACAUCCAUAUGCUUCAGAUCAAGCCUAAACAUAAGUCAGGUAUAAGAAUAACCAUUCAAGUUUCACUAACAAGCAGAUCAUGUGUUAGUUAUAGAAGUCUUCAACUAAAUUUACAGCCAUUAAUCUCACUUCAGAUGUAAUCUCAAGCCUGUAACAUGCUGCCUAGGAACAAACCAAACUCUGCUGUAGAAAUACAUCAGAAGGCAUUGCCGGUUUGGAAAAGAUCUGAAUGUAAUGUUUUGUCCAAAUGCCAGUAGAGAGUGGAAAGCAUUCCUGGGAAACAAAAAAAGAUAAACCAGAAAACAUACGAGGAAACUUUUCGUUUUUCUUAUUUUUGUACUUUUUUAAAAAAAAUUAUUUUAUUUUUUUAGCUUUUAAUUUAUUUUUUUUUAGCUUUUAUUUUAUUUUAUUUUUUUAAGAAAAUGGCUGCAACCUCCUAAAUAUGCAUCAAAGCUAAUUCUGGAAAGUAACUGAGUCUCUCAGAAUUACCAUAUGCUAUUAUCAAUAUAUCAGAAAUUAAUUUCUUUUUCACCACUCUAGAAAGAUAGCACACUUUUGCAGGGUUGAUAGUGAUGACCGAGUAGAUGUAAGGGUUCGCAGGCAAGGAUUCUCCAGCUUGAGGUCAAUAAAUAAGAUGUUUUCUAAGAGGAUGUGGAACUGGAUGUUUAUUUCGAGGAACUGUAAGUUGUAUGGAUUUUAGGUAUUUGAAGUAAUUGCAUCUGUAUUGUGUUUUGAUCCGCAGAACGGUGUGGAAGAUUGACAAAACUCUAAUUUGAAAGAAGGAUUUUUAGUCUCAAGUAAGCAGGUUAGAAAGUAAGAAGUAAAAAGAGUGCACACAUCUCAUGGAAGGAGGACCCUAAAAGAGUGCACACAUCUCAUGGAAGGAGGCCAGUGAGGGUCCAAGCAAGUGAGAUGGUCAUGGUCGUUUGCAUACUACUUCCAAGGAAACAUUUUCUUGUCGGAAAGUACUUGACCUCACACUUUUCCUUGACAAUAAAAUACACAAAAUAAAGAAAAAGAUUAGUAUUUUCCUUUUCCUUUCAAUAGGAAACAGAGCCUAAGUUUUACAUUUCAAGAGAGAGGCCAAUCCCACAGUUCAUACUUGGGGCUAAUAAUUACUGUUAAGGCCCUGAGGAGGUCUGCAUCUUCAGGAUUACUUGAGAAAAUUACUAAAGAAUGAUGCAAUAGAUUUAAGGAUUCAACUCUCUGUAUGAUCAUAAUUUAAAGGCAACCAAUAAAUGCGAGCAAGAAAUAAUCACAAUUCCAGAGGACUUUUGGGGAUGAUAUCAUAGCAGAUUAAGGUAUAAUCUACAAUGGGGAAUGUUAGAAUGUUUGUUGACGUCUACGAUUGUUUGUCAGGUUUUCAGAGUUAUAUUGUAAUACCUAGGAUUUGAAGACAUGGUAGAGUUAAGAGGAACCAAGGAAUCCAAGUUAAAUACUGAUCAAAUAUCAAAAUUUUGCAGGUUUGGCUCCCGAUCCCAUGCUUUUUUGAUCCAGAAAUUUGCAUAUCACUGGGCCUCAGCUAAGGUAGACCAACUCUCCUAUGAAUCUAACAAGAAAGAUAUUGCAGCUUUCUUCGUGUAGAUUAAUAGCAGUAUUGUAUAAAUAUUUUCAUUAAUUUCUGAUGCAUGAUACCAAGGAAACAAAAUAACAAUGUGAAAAAAAAGUUUAUUCAAACAUGAUUACGCCUGAUGGUAGUUAUUAUUUGGGUGAUAUUCUGUCUGCAGUCUAGUUCACCAUUCAAAACUUUAUCAUGAGGGUCCAACACAGCAUGAAUGUAAAAUAGUGGAUAGAAAGCUAAAUAACAUUAACUACAACCAUCAUAGACAUGGGCAAUGAGAGUUAAAAUUUUACUAUAAUGUCAUAAGAUGAUCUUGACCAUAAAUUCCUGCUAAAUAACAGAUUUCAAGCAACAAAUGAGAUGAAUGAAUAACUAACCAUUCCCAUGUGUUAUCAAAUUGUCGAGCCGAAAGAGUAAGCAUUUUACAAGGCUAGGUAUCAAUGACCCAGAAGUCACCAAAAUAUUUACAUGCUCGGAUUUUGUAUCGGCAGAAUCAAGACUGGCCAAACCAAGAGAAGAAGUUGAGACUUCCUUCCCACUUGAACACUGCUCCAAUAAGACCCUUGCUACAUACCCAAAACAAAAUUCAUACUAUGUAUAAGUGAUUGGAAAGAACUACUAUGUAACAAGCUCAAAUUAUUAGCAAGUGCUGAUGGAUCAUAUUGAAAAGGCAGUAGGAAAAAGGCAAUAAAACCAGCAAGGGGAACAAAGGCAAAGGAAAACCAAGUAAUAUACUGAUAAUUUGAACUAUAUUACUAGAAUGAAGCUGAAAAGUAGAAUAAAUAACAAAACUAUAGCUAAUGGUUGUAAUUCCACUGACUGCAUCUAGUAAUUGUCAUCUAUGAUGAAAUUUAACCAAACAUAAUUUGGUCAUAAUUCCUAUGAUACUUGCCUAAAAUUAUCAUCUAUCUACACUGAAAUUUCUAUGCUCUCUCAAAUUCAUUCUAAUUGAUGCUCCAACUUGUUAGGAAAUGAGAACCCGCACAGGUAGUUGACAUGUCCGAUCCAAAAGUGACACUAACAUCAGCUUGCCUAAAAGAUACAUAUUUUAUUUCUUUCACUGUUACAUAAACGUGCUCUCCCCGCCCCAAUGAGACUAAGAUUCAAACUCUAAACCUCAUAUGGCAUCCCCAUAGAUCUCAUCAAUUGAACCAAAACUAGGACCCAAAAUUUACUUGAUGCUUUAAUAUCAACAAACAAUUUUCAUGCACCUAUUUAAUUAUCCAUAGGCACCAUAUUUUAAGCAUUCCUUCACUGGUUUAUUCCAAAAACUCUUAACAAAAGAGUUAAAAAGUGCGAAAUCAAAUUCAAAUGCAUCAUUAACAAGUACCCGAGGACAGCCAUCUAUCAGUAUAUUCAUCAGUCAUAUCGUACAAUUCAUCCCAGACUCUCAACAGCUCUUUAUCAAAGAUAUUUUGCAAGCCCUGAAAUAAUAGAGAUGAGCAUUUGACUAAAUAAUACACCAAACUAAAAUGGGUUUGAGAAAUAGAAUAGAAUACCUCUUCGUACUUAUGGGCAAUGGCACGGUGCCUGUAGGCAAUUUUCUUUAAGCUGAGAUCAUCAAAUGGAGGACAUAACUCAUCACGAUCAAAUUCAUAAUCAGAAAGAUCUCGGCCAUCGUCAUAUUGCUUUAAGGCAUCAAGAAAAGGCGUAUUGUUGUUCUCAAUCUGCAUGCACAUUCAAAAUUUGAUGAAAAUUAGCACAAAUAAAGGCAAAAAGAAAAACCCAUUUGAGUAAAAAUGGGGAAAAAAACUCACUUGCUCAUAGAAGAAGCAUUCAUCACAAACAUUAAGAAUGUGAUUCUCCCACAUUCUUCCAAUUUGAACACCUUUGUCAGCAUCUUUUAAGUCAUUGAAAGACUGGGCAAAUGUUCCAUUCAACAAAGACUUGAGAAGAAUAAGGGUCUCGUCCAUGUCCCAUAUAAAUACUUUUGUUAGUGUUGCAUCCAUGCCUCGUUUUCUUUUCUCCUUUUCCUCACAGUUCUCACCCACGUCGAUAUGCUUAUUAUGGAGUUAGCAGUGGGGAUGUAAGCAAGGGAUCCCAAGACCACACGCUAGGGUUUAGCAAAUUUUGAGAUUAAAACUGUGUCUAUAAGAACAAGAGCAAACUCUUUUUUAAUAGUGUUUGAUAAUUUAAGCGAUAAUUUGUAUUUUGGUAUGGGUUAAUUUUGUCUUGCACCCAACUGUUUCAAUAUUUUUUACCACACACCUAUAUAUUUCGAAAAUACUCACUUCACACUUAAUUUUAUUAAUUUGACCGUUUAUUCUAACGGUCAAAAGGUAAAUUUGAAAAUUCAUAUCCUAAAUAUUAUUUGAUGAUGAUAAAUUAAAUUUAUUUGAUAAUUUAAUUGAUGAAAUUAUUAUUAAUUACCUUUAAAUAAAAUUUUUUAAUGUAAACAUUAAUUAUUAAAUUAAUAUUUUAUCUUAUUUUAUUUUUCUCUAAUUCAAGAUAAGGGGUAUUUCGGAUAUUUAUUUAAAUUUUAAAUAGCUCCGUUAAAUAUAACGGUCAAAUUAACGGAAUUGAGUGUGGAGUGAGUAUUUUCAAAAUAUAUGGGUGUGUGGCGAAAAAUGUUGAAACAGUUGGGGGCAGAACAAAAUUAACCCUUUUGGUAUCGGGUCCAGGCCAGCUAUUGUGUCUCUGUGGCAACCUCGUUUUUUGUCUUGUUCAAAAGCACCCGUUAGAUUUUAAGCUAUCCAAUCUAACGGCUGUCAUUGCUAGGGGCAAUUACGUGUAGUAACGGGUUACGGGUAUAACCGGUUUGGACAUAACGUGUCGGAGUUUACUGAUUGUUAAAACUGGAAUAGGGUGAAAUCAAAAUAAACAUAAAUAAAAAUGAGUUGAAAUGAGAAUGAGAAAUAAAAAUUAAAAUAAAUUAUUUACUUAAAAUAUAAGAAUUGAAAUAUUAAUAAAUUAUUUUUAUUGAUGUGUUUAUUUUAUUUAAUAAUCAGAAUUAAUUGUUUUAAAUUAUUAAAAUGUUGUUAGUUAAUUAUCAUCAUUUUAUUAUUAUUUAUUAUAAUAAUUAUUAAAUAAUUAUUAUUAUUUUUUUUAAAAAAAUAAUAAUAAAAUAAUAAUUAUUUUUUAAAAAAUAAUAAUAAUUAUUAUUAUAACUCUAACAAUAAUCGUUAUAAAUUAUUAUUAUUAUUACCACUACUACUAAUACUCCCAUUAUGGUUAUGAUUGUUAUUUUGAUUAUUAUUAUUAUUAUUAUUAUUAUUAACAAAGACAAAAAUAAGAAUAAGAAUAAGAAUAAUAAGAAGAAUACAAUAAUAUAAUAAUAUUUAAUUAAGGAUAAAAGUGAAAUUAUAAAAUUUUGGUGAAAUAAAAUGGUGAGUUCAAGAACUGAGAACUUGAUUCACACUCUCUAUAGGAAUCAAGUUUCUAUUCCUUAAUUUAAGAAGCAUAUAGGUCCCACAUAUUUCAUUGUCAUUUCCUCUUCAAUUUAAACCAGCAAGCAUCACCAAUCAUUCUCAUUCCAAAUUUCAAUUCUUUAAUCCACAAGUAAAUACACUAUGAAAUGAAAGGAUGAGGUUUGUUACUGAUUUUGUUAUUUUUAGAUUUUAGAAUGCUUCCUUGUUGAUUUAGUAUGUAAGUUAACUUCAAUAAGAAUACGUUGGAUUAUCUCCAACUUAGAGACAACCAAUAAGUCAUUGGAUCUCAAGUUUUAUCAUGGAGGGUCAAAAUUAUGGAGACAAAUUAUACGUGAUCGAGUAAUAAAGUCAAGAAUUUUGGCAUAUAAAAAGUAGAUGAUGUUUCGUUUUGUAAAAUAACAAAUUAACUAAAUUUAAUCUUUCAAUCAAAUAUGAAAAAACAAACUUUGCUCUUUUGGUUUUCUUUGGGGCUAAAUUUGGAAGAAUUUAUGGUCAAGUUGCAAGUUGAUAGAUGGCAAAUGAAUAAUAAAAAAGAUUCUAAUUAGUGGAAAAAUGACCCAGCAGUUCCACUACAUAUGCCAAUCAAGGAUAAGUACAAUUUUCAUAGAAGUGGCUUAGCUCACAGGGCAAAAAAGAGAAAGAAAUCAAGAUAUUUUGGUGCCACACAUGUGCUUCCUAAAUGUUAACAUCAAUUAGUAAAAUUUGUUUGUCUUUUAACCUAAGAACGAGGAACUAGUAGGAAAUCAUGUCUGAAGAGGUAUCCUGCAGCACAUGAUACCUUAACAUCUCUAUAACUGCCUUCACAAGGGCAGCAAGUAUGAACAAGCACUAGGUAGACAAGGGUUCAAAUGUCAAACACCACAUGUAGCUUGCCCAACAAACUCAUUUAAAUAUAUUCUCCAAAAUAUCCUUAUAUAAAGAGGAUCUAACCAUUAAAGAGGUGUCAUGUGGCACAAAAGAUAAAAGUACUUAUAGGACACCUAACUUUUAUGUACUCACCUAAAGGCAUAUAUAGAAUGACUCUUUUUUAAUUUUUUCUCUAGAUCUCUUGAGACUUUUAGACUAUUUCAUCAUAUUUUUACACAUUUGUAGGGUUUCUUCUAUUUUUGAGAACUCUAAAGAAGAUUCUUAACAAUCUCAGCUCUUAAAAGAGCUUCUUAUUUAUUCUUUUCUUAGAGAACUCUCUUAUUUCCUAAAUUCAUAUUUGAAUUAAAAUAUGCGAAAAAAGAAAUAGAUGAAGCUAGUACCACCUCGCAUCUUGAAGCAUCUACUCUAAGAAAACCCACUUCAUAAUUAGUUUCACACACCCAACAUCCCUUCUCGCCUUAUAAAGCUACAACGACCAUUAAUAAGUAAAAGAUUUGUUCCAGCGUGGUUGCAUAAACCAAAACGAGAAGAGCAGCAGCUAAUUAAAAUAAGAAGGAUCAAAUUUGGUUAUGCAAGAUCCUAUGAGAAUGAUAAUAUCGUAUCCACAAUAUCUUAAUCGGUCGAUAACAAUUUUAAGAUAUUCACCACUGGUAGGCCCCUUAUUCCUGCACAGACGUAUGAUCGUUCAUCAAUAUCUGGCGCUAUGUCUCAACUUUAACCUCCAAAGACAAGACCAAGAGCAAGAGCUAAAUAAGGUACAUAAAACUCUUCCCUACAACCAUGAUGAAUCACCUGUAUUGGACUAUCCACGUCUUGCAUUUUUCUUAAAAGAAAUUCUAAUAUAUUACGACUAAUUAAUGUAUUCAUGACUUGUGUAAUUAAAUUUAUUAUAACCACCACUUACAUGAUGAUUUUUUAAAAUAAACGCACAUGUGUCAUAGUAUCAUUUGCUUAUUGUAUAUGACUGAUGUGAUUCCCUGGCGUAUUCUAUAAUUUUUCUCUUUUCUUAGAAUAUCACGAUAACUCUAUUCUCACUCCUUGGAACUGGAAGAUGGAUUGUGACCAUUCAACUUCUAUAAACAAACACUUAUAGAUGGGAAUGGCGCUUCGUAUUUUUAUUUGAACAUGCACUUUUUUUCUUAAAAUUUUGUGCAGGCAAUACUCUUGACCGGGGAUUAUAGAUGAAAAAGUAAGCCAUGUAUAGGAUCUACCACCAAACACAUUUGGUGCUGCCUAUGCAAGUUUUAUAAGAUCCAAGAACUUCUCUCCAGAUGAUCGCCCACCAAUGCAAUUCAUGGACACAAAUGAACUAGCUGCGUGGCCGUGUCGGCACGUGAGGUGCAUGAUUUUUGGCACACCCUUUUUGGCCUUCCCACUAACUUAAUAGUGAGUCUACCCUCAAAGUAAUAGAGUUCCAGCAAAUGUACUUCCAAUGUGCUUCUUAACAGUUAUAGAGUUAUAGGGGGCUUUGCUAGAUUUAGUGAAGAGCAAAGGAAGUUUUUCUUCCAACAUUACUUGUGCGUCUAUUAUAAGUGGCACUUUCACGAGGAUUUGGUGAAUGUUCAAAAGAAAUGGGGAUAGUCCCUACUCUCGCUGGUGAUGUCUGAGAAUUUUUUUUGUCAAACUCUUUUUAUCUUGCUGGGAUACAGCUUAAAUUAUUGGAACAUUUUAUAUUUGUAUGAAGAGAUAAUAGUCCCUAAGUGAGAUUGUACCAUUGAUUGGUACAGAUUACUGCAUUAUAGUUUACAGACCCAUAAAUUUUUCUUAUAAAUGCAGAAAAGAUACUAGGGAUGACAUAAAUCUUCAUGGGAACGAGAGUCAUGGAGAUUUUUCCUAAUCGGGGAGGGUACGAGAAUUAUUUUAUACUCAAUUUCUUAUUCGGGGAAGAGAUGUGGAUGAUUUUUUGCCAAAUUUCUUAUUCAGAAAAUGGACAGGGAUGAGAUGGAAUCCCCAUCCCCUCCAUAUUUCUCCAUUUUCAAAUUUUAAUUUUUAAUUUUAUAGAAUUAUUAAUGAAUAAAUAAUAAAUUUAAAUUAUAAAAAAAAUAUUAGUAUAAAUAAAAAAAUCAAAAUAUUUAUACAAAUAUACUAUGAAACUGUCAAGCCUAGUUAACUAGUUGUAGUCCUAAAAUAUUAUUCGAUCAGGCAUUAUUCAAAAGGACUUGGCCCAAAAUUUUUGUUUUAAAUUUUUAUUUAAUAAAACAAAAAUUGAAACUAAAGCAAAAUCAUAAAACUUAAUUUCUAAAGCAGCCAACCGCCAAUGCUCCACUGCAGACAUUCAUGACCAUUAGUUCAUUUAUUUCAUUAUUCAUAGAAAAGAAAUUUCUUUUUUUUUAAAUUAUAGUAUUAUAAAAAUCGACAAAAAUAAUAUUAUGAUGAUUUGAAUUUUAUAGUGUAACUUUUUUAAUAGAUAAAUGUUAAUGUAAGAUAUAUUGUCAAACUCUACUUUUAUUUAAGUUUUUUAUUUCAAUAUGAUUAAAUCAAGUUUGGAAAUUAAAAAUGUAUUGAUUAUUUGAAGAUCGAGAACCCUUGAGGAUUCUCUGUUAUUAUUCAGGGAGGGAGUGGAGACCUCUUAAGCAAUUCUGACAGGGACAGAGAUGUCAAUCCCCUUCCUCCCUUCCGCAUUGCCAUCCUUAAAAGCUACAUGGAAAAAACAAAAUCAUUUUAUUGAGAUAUUCUUGAGGGGUCUCGGAUAUUUUAGUUCGUUCCCUUUGUAUCUUUAAAAAAAACAGCUGGAACAUGCUCUUCAAGAACUCAAAAGUGUGGGGGGAUUUUACAUGAAAAAGCGAUAAAAGGAAGAAUGACAAUAUCUAUCUACUCAAGAGACGAGUGAACAAUUUUGCAUUAGCAACUAUAAAAAUUUACUUUUGAUUGUAAUUGCAUCUUGUAACAAAAGAUUAUGCAUAAAAACUUAUCUUGAUUUAAUUAAGCAGACAACCACACCAUCUAUAUAUUACAUCACAACAUCCGACAAGUUUAACUGUAUAUGUAAACGAUGAGUGCAUUGCCUCAUCCAAAUUACAAGUUUCACAAAAAUCACAAACAACACUUCAUAUGAAGAUAAGGAGGAACUUCACAGUUACUACCCCCACCACCAAAGAGGUAACUUAGAGAAGAUCCACUACUAGGGGCAGCAUGAACCUUGGUUGAAGGUCGAUCCUGUAAUAAAAAAAUAGAGAGAUCGUCAUCACAAUCAUACAAGUUUAGCCAUUCAACAGAUAAUUAAAACAAGUUUAUGCAAUCUAAAUAGACUCACAGAAGUAAAACAUAGUUUUGAGAAGCUUAGUUUCAGAUUUCACAUUAAGAGGCCCAAGACAUUCUUGUGUUAAGGCUUAUUGAAACAAAAUGAUAGAUACAACCAUCAUGUAAAAACAAUUUGAACUAAUUUCAAGUUGUACCAUGUCUACCAAGAAAAUCGGGGUAAUGGGGUUGGGGACUAACUGCAAGUGGUUCAUGUGCAAGUGAAUUGAUUAUUUGAAAUGAACUAAUAUGGGCUGAGAUACACAUUUCUUGACUCCACAAUGACACAAAGCAAAUUAUUCCUCAUACAACAUUUUAUAAAAUUAUGCAACUUUUACAAUUGCAUUUUUCUGCCUUAAUGUACAAUACAGUUAGUUGGGCCUACUAAAUUUCUUAUAAUCAUUUCAAGACAUUCUAUUUCCAAAUUGGUUAAUAGUUUCCGACAAUAGUCUCCCUCAACAAAAAUAUUUAAAAUAAAGAUCUAACUUCAAUGUGAGAUUUGAAAAAAAAAAUUAAUUAUUGUUUUGUGAUUUGGCUAGUUCUUGUCAUAUAGUUCUUUCGUUUUUUGGACUUGUACAGCAUAUUUAUUCAUUAUUUUCUUCUUCAACGAAGUGAUGGGAAAUUUUACAAAAUAAUACACCCAAUUUAACUGUCAAAUCAUUGUCACAAAUAUGUUGGGAAAGUCGUAUUGAAGAGUAAAGCUAAAUGUCUACCAACAUAUGAAUUGGAAAAUUUUGAAUUUCUUUUUAGGUAUGAUUAUUUGAUACGAUAUAUUAUUUGCUGGUAACUCUAUUAAGAUCUUGCAAAAAGAAGAUAUACAUAUUAAUAUUGCAAUAGAUUAGCUUAAAGGUCUUAUUUCAUUUUUGAAAGUAUAGAGAAAAUAGGUUCAUUUAUGCUANNNNNNNNNNNNNNNNNNNNNNNNNNNNNNNNNNNNNNNNNNNNNNNNNNNNNNNNNNNNNNNNNNNNNNNNNNNNNNNNNNNNNNNNNNNNNNNNNNNNNNNNNNNNNNNNNNNNNNNNNNNNNNNNNNNNNNNNNNNNNNNNNNNNNNNNNNNNNNNNNNNNNNNNNNNNNNNNNNNNNNNNNNNNNNNNNNNNNNNNNNNNNNGAAAAACGUACCCCACUUGAUGUAUUUAAUUAUUUGAAAAAAUUAAUUCUUUUCCAAAUGCAUUUAUUACUUAUAGAUAGGUAAAAAGGACACAUACACCCUCAUGAUUUGAAGAUAUGAUUGCAAAGACUCCGAAAUUUUCAAUAAGGGACGUCAGACCCUCUUUUAACCACGAUACCAGUUUUUACUCUAUAAAUUCAAAAAAAUUGACAUCAAAAUUUUAUAAUAAAUAAAAAUAUGACAUUAAAAUAAAUGUAAUAAUAUAUAUAUAUAACUUUAACAUUUAAAAAAUAUUUUUAUAUUUUACAAUCUGUUAGACCUAUUUUAUUAUAAUAAAGUAAUUAUAAUAAUAAAUAGAAACGUAAUAUUAAAAUAAAUGAAAUUGAAAUUAAAAUUAUUUUGAAUACUAUGCAAAAAUUAAUUUUAAUAUUAUUAAUAGGGACAUAUUCUGUUAAUUAUAAAAUAUAUUUAACCUAAAGAUUUAUUUAAAAUCUUUAUAAUAAAUACAAUUAUAUUAUUAAAAUAAAUAUAAUAAUUUAAUAAUUUAAUAUUUUAAAUGUUAAAAUAAUUUAAUAUUAUUAGUCUAUUAGAUAGAUUAUAUUAUUUAUUUAUAUUUUUAUUAAUUUAAAACUUUAAAGUAAAUUUUCUAAUUAUUAUUAUAUUCAAAGAAUAUUAUGGUCAAAAAAAGAUUUUAGUGUCCUUUUUAAAAACUUAGGGAUCUUUGUGACCAUUUUCCAAAACCUUAGGGGUGUAGGUGUCUUUUUUCUUAUAGAAUAUUAUUAAAAACACUAGUGACAAUUGCUUAUGUAGAAAGAGGUUUUUCAAAAUUAAAACUAAUAAAAUCUUAUUUAAGAUCAACCAUAUGACAUGAAAGAUUAAAUGGGUUAAUUAUAUUAUUUAUUGAGAAAAUAUAUUAGUAAAAUCAGAAUCUAAAAAUUUGACUAAUAAUUUUACAUCUCGUAGAGUUAGAAAAAUUGAUUUUAAAUAAAUGAAUUUUUAAUAAUAAUUUUUUUUUGAAAAGACUAAUUGAAACAAUUCACCUAAAACCCCAAAAUUAGUAGAACUGCUCAUGCAUGUAAUGAUAGUGACGUAGAUGUAAUGCUAGAAUGAAAAAAGUAAAUAAAAUUUACAAAAAUGUAUAAGAUUAGAAUCAAGUUUUUAAUAAUUUUUCAACCUUGAUGUGCAUGGCACACGUUAAAGUAUGGGUGGCUCUAGCUCCUGCAUACACCAAAUACUGGACUAUCAAGAUUAUUACUAUAUUUUUUUAUAAGGACUCAAGCUUAUUACUUGCUUCAGCAAAAAGUUGAUUCAAUUGGCGUUAGAAUCUCAAGAAUUGGUGACGAUAAGACCUGACAUUUCUUCUAACAACAGUUGCUGGCAAGUGCAAAAAGGAAAAGAAAACAAGGUGAAGAUGAAAGCAAUACAGACUCAUUCAUAGAAACUAAAUUGAUUAUUAAUCUGAUCAACAUUAUUUUCAAUCUGAUCACGAUUUCACUUUCUCAUUUCUUUCUUUUCCGAUGCAAUUGUUUUUUUUUUUUUAACUUAUUUUAAUAUUUUACUUACUUUUAUUUUUCUCACUGAGCUCUUGAUACCCUUGGACGGGUCCAACAAGAGUCAUAUGAAUGAAAGUUUUUCUAAAAAAAAUAAAAGACUCCAAAUCUCAAAAUUUGUUCAAGGUCAGACAAAAAGUCAAAAUUGGCCUAAACUUACUCGAUCAUAAUAAGGCAAGUAAAAGUAAUAUAAAUAAUUUUUUUUUUCAAGGCAAGUAGAGUUUUUAGAGUCUCAAAACUUACUCGAGAUGGGGCAAAAAGCCUAAGUCUGCCUCAAUUGUGUGACCCGGAUUAAGUCGAGCAAGUUUAUUUAUGUUUUCAUUUUUAGUGAAAAUUUUAUUUUCAAAUGUCGAGAUUAUGACUAUUAUGUUGGAAUAAGAAAAUUUUUGAUGAAAACCAUCACCUAUAUCUAAAGAAUAUUCAUGUUGGGGGAUGUAGAAAAAUAAUUUAACGAAGGUUAAAUUAAAUAAUAGUAAGAUAUAAAAACUGAAAUGUGAAUAUAAUUUUUUUUAUUUAAUGCAAUCUCUAGUUAAAAUAUGGCACCCACAAUUCAAUAAUUAGAAAUUAUAAAUAUUUUAAGCUGUGGGCUUUGAUUUUUAAGACAAAGUAUAACUUUUGUAAUUAAUAAAAUAAUAGUUUAAAAUUUAAAGGAUGAGACUAUCUAAUCAUUUGACAAUACUAUUUAGAAAUAUAUUAAAUUUUCUUUAUAAAAUAAAUAUUUUUUUUCCAGUGGGGGCUUGAGCCCCCAAUGGUCCUAUAGUGAAUCCGCCUCUGUGUUGUAUCACCAAGAAUCAAUAACGAAUUAUGCAGAAGUGUACCUGAAUCUAUAACGCUGAAUUGCUCUCUAGAGUUGUGUGGAUAGCCUUCUAGAUCUACAUAUUCUCUUAGAGAAUCGUUUAAUAUUCUCUGGGAUGUUAGUAGAGAAUAGAAAGAUACGUGUGACCUGAGGAUCAUAACCACUUAUAUAGAACUAUUUUUCUUGUUAUCACUGGGUAUUUCUAAUUCUGCACAUCAUAAAAUUAUAAUAUCAUUGGGUCUCUAUACAUUAAAGGCUCAACCCUAUUAGAUACAUUAAAGCCCGUAAUACCGAAAACCUUAAUAGAUCACUUUUAAUUGGGCUUAACUUUAGAUGACAGUUUAAAAUACAUAAUUAUUCACAUAUAAGCCCAACAUUGGAUUAAGGAUCCAAAAAAUAUUAGAUUAAAAAUCCAACAUAUUAAACCAUUGGGACCACAAAAUAUAACUCUCUUUGCAAAUUUGGCAUAUUAGGGAUGACAAAAUCUAGAUCUGUAUAUAGGUGCAUCUAGAUCUUGAUCUGCAUUAAUAUUUUGAGAUCUAGAUCCAGAUGCAGGUAAUAUUUGUUCAGAUUGUGGGCGGAUUUUUCAGGUAUUCAGGUCCGCAUAACACCAAAUUUAAAAUUUCACAUACAUUUGAGAUUUAACAGUUUUAACUAAGAAAAUGAAAUAAAAUUCAAUCAUAAUUUAACAAUUAAUAAUUCAAUAUCUAGAUUAACAUAUAACAACACUAUAAAUUCACAAAUAAAAAUAUGGUUAGCUAAGGAUGCUAAAUAUCUGUGAUAGUAAAAAAGAUGUAAUUAAAAAAAAUUGAUUUCUAUCUACAUUAUGGACGGUUAAGGCAACAAAAUCAAUGUUUUGAUUGGAAAAUCGAGAGGGAUGAGAGAGAGGGAAAUAAAUAUUUUGAAAAUCAUGAAUAAAGAUUGAAAGUGAGGGAUCAGAAGAUCAAUUCAAAUAUUUAGUAAUUAAUUUCAAAGAUUAAAUUUUGGGUGGAGAUAUUUCCACUCCAUAAAUUCAGUAAAUCCACCCUACUUCUAAAAAAUAAAUAUAUAAAAUCGUAUUAUUUUUAAAAAUUUCAAAUAAAGAAGAUUUUUGAAGAAUUAAUAAAUUAAAUUGAAGAAUUAAUCAAUUAAAUCUUUCUUAAAUUCUUAAUUUACUUUUUGUGAUAUCUUAAUUUUUUUUGUAACUUAGUUUUUUUUUUAAUUAUAUUUGACAACUAAGAUUGCUUUAACCUAAAUUUAAAUUGAUUAUUUUAUCCUUAAAACGUAAAAGCGCCAAAAAUUUACUCUAACUUCAAUAUUUAUUUUAUUUUAUACAAAAUUCAUUGUUUCUAAAUGGUCAAUUCUACUUUAUUUGUAUGAUUAUUAACUUUUAAUUAAACUAACAUAAUGUCUUUAUGAGCCAAUACUCAUGUAAAUUAUUAAGUUGUCAAAUUUAUGUCAUUUACAUGUAAAAUAUUGACAGUUAUUAGACUUCAUUUGAAAAGUUAGAUUAUAAGUCAAAAAAUUGAGUACUUAAAGUAUUAGAUAAAAGAACAUAUAUUUCUUUAGGUGAUUGAGUCAUUUUAUUUUAUAAAGAUAAAAUAAUUAAAUAAAACUUAUAUUAAAGAACCUUAAUAAUAAUAAAAAACUAAGUAAAAAAGAUGCAAGAGUGAUUUAAUUGAUACAAAUAUUUUUGUUGAUUUAUAUUUAUUAGAAACAAUGUGCAUUUAUUGUAAAUAUCUUUUAGAAGUGGGGUGGGUUUACACAUAUAAUGGGGUGGAAAUAUCCCCUUAAAUAUUUUGACACAUAUUAAACUAGUAUUAACGUGGAACAAUCAAUAUAAAAUAGAAUUUCUGAUAGAACCCUCGUAAAUAUUUUGCACACCUUCCUACCAUUUUGGAAUUUGGAUAAAAGGUCUAAUUACUUUAUGGCAACGUGCCCUUAUUUUUGUCAUUUUGUGGAACAGCCGUUAAAUUGUAACCAAGACUUACAUAAUAUAAUCCAACUAAUGCAAUUUAAAAAUUAAUAAAAUAAUAAGUUGCAGGCUAUCGUCUGCGCUCAGAAUGGGGUUCUUAGCACUGUAUGUUAGGUGGUUUUUUUUGUUUGAAUUACUGAAAAUAAAUUUUAAGUUUUUUUAAUUAAAAAGAUUUGAAAACUAAUAUUUUUAUAUUUAUAUCCUUACCAAUUAUAAAUAUUAAAAAAAUAAUAAAUAUCUCAAAAAUUUAAAUAAAAUAAUAUAUUAUCAUAAUAUAAAAAAUAUUCAAUUGAAUACAAGUAUAUAGCGUUUUUUAUUCUAAAUUAAUAUAUGUUAAUUAAUUUUAUUGUAGUUCAUGGUGGUUUUAGAUGAAAAAUAUUCAUAAAAAUUAUGAAGAUAAAUAAUGCUAAUUUGAAGAAAAUAAAAAAAAACAAAAAUAAGAAUAACCUACCACUAUAUUAUCACAAAUUAUAUACAUGUGUAAUAAUGCAAAUUGCUAAAUUUUAUUUAGGUAAGGAUGAAAAUUAAUUAUUUAGAUAGGGAUAUUUUGAAGAAUAUUUUUAAUGAUAUCAUUAAGACUUUCUGUAAAAAACUAAAAAAAAUUGGUUUAAUAAUUUAAUGACUUAAUGACUGAAAGUUUUCAUUAAGUAAAAAAACAAACGAAGUUAAUGACUUAAUUGAUUGAAAUUAAGUCAAUUAAUAUCAUAGAGUAUUUAGUAGAGAAUUCACAUAUUUCCAUUAACCAUUAAUUGAAUAUAUAGUACAAGUAUUGGAAAAACCCAAAAAAAAACUUAAGCUUCUAAAAAUACUGAAAAUCAAAUAUAAGAAUACAAUUCAAAUACAAAUUAACUACAUUAAGAAAGAGUCAAAUUAAGAGAUAAAGAAAAUAUUAAAAUAAUAAAUAUAUUAAAUAUAAACUAUUAUGCCCCCUCAAGAUACGCCGCGGGAACAAAGGCCAAUCUUCAGUUUGAGAGGCUGAAAUUGAGUACGGGAUAAAGGCUUUGUAAGAGCAUUUACAAGUUGAUCAGCAGAGCAGACAUGAGCUACACAAAGAGCACCAGUUUGAAUUUCAUCCCGGAUAAAGUGAAAAUCAAUGGCGACAUGCUUUAUCCACUAGUGGAAAACACGAUUGGAACAUAACUAAGUAGCACCAACAUUAUCACAAUAGAUGACAAGAGCAUUAGACAAAAGAACACCAAGAUCAGUUAACAGAUAAUACAUCCAAUUAAGUUAAGCAGCUGUAACAGCAACAGAGUGAUACUCGGCUUCCGUAAAAGAAAGAGCAACAAUAUGUUGUGUCUUUCAGCUCUAAAAGAUAGGGUUACAACCAAGAUAAACAAUAUAUGCACUGGUGGAGGUAUAAUCAUCCUUCUUACUAGCCUAAUCAGUAUCAGAGAAGGCACGAAGAGAAAGUGGAGAAUUACGAUAGAGAAGAACACCAUCAUCCAAGGUACCACAUAAAUAGCGUAAGAGACGUUUGACAAGAACCCAAUGCUCGGUUGAUGGGUGAUGCAUGAACCGAGACAAUUUACUAACCACAUAAGAGAUGUUAGAAUGAGUGAGGGACAAGUAUUGUAGACUACCAACAAUAGUGUGGUAUUCCGUAGGAUCAGAGAGGGGAGCGCUUGAGUACAAACUCAAUGACAAAUUAUGAGGCAAAGGAGUGGAAACUGGUUUAGCACCUAGCAUGUGAGUGCGAAUGAGAAUAUCUACGAUAUAACGACGUUGUGAUAGUAAGAUUCCAUGACGGUGAGGCACAAUUUCGACACCAAGAAAAUAAGAAAGAGGGCUUAAAUCUUUGAGUGAAAAUCGUUGAGUAAGACAAUCAACAAACUGAUGAACGAGAUCAAAAUUGUCACUUGUAAGAACGAUAUCAUCAACAAAGACCAAGAGAUAGAGAAGAUGAGUACCAGUGUUGAGGACAAACAAGGAUGUGUCAGCAUAGGAAUUUUUAAAUGUAGAAGUAAGUGAAACUGACGUUAACUCAUGAUACCAAGCCAGUGGUAGUAGUUUAAGACCAUAGCUUAUAAACAUAUGUUAGAUGAUCAAAAUCAAUGAAACUCGAGGGUUGCGCCAUAUAAACAUCUUCAAAAAGCUAGCCUUGAAGAAAGGCAUUACUAAUAGCCAAUUGAUGAAGAGGUCAACCAUGAGUAACAACAAUGCUGAGAACAAGUUGUAUUAUGGUGGGCCUAACAACCAGACUGAAAGUGUCAUGAUAGUCGACACCAGGCCAUUGAUUGAACCCUUUGACAACAAGGUGAGCUUUAAACAUGUCAAUAGAACCAUUAGAAUGUCUUUUAAUACGAAAAAUCCAUUUACAACCAACAUAUUGUAAGAGGAGGGAGGUGGAACCAGCACCUAUGUCCUAUUAUGAACAAGAACAUCAUACUCAUCUGACAUAGCUUAAUGUCGGUUAAGAUUUUUGAUUGCUUGGCUCACGGUUGUGGGUUCAAAAUUAGAGGAGGGGCUAACAUGAGCAUGGAGGUUAAGUUUUUGUAGAGGCUUGUGAAUAUUAUGUUUAGCUCAAGUAGUCAUCCUAUGAUGAUUUGUAGGGUAAGGAGUUAGUGGAAUUUGGGAAGAUGAUUGAACAGGGAGUGGAGAAGUACUUUGUGUAGAUGUAGAAGCAGGUUGAGAGGAUUGUUGUUGAGAUGUUGCAGGUAGAGAAUAAGGAGUAGUGCACGGUGGCAACUCUGGAGGGCUUGCAGUAAAUGGAGUAGUUGCCAAUAAUGGAGGACUAAGAAAUGAAACAGUAAGAACUGGCAGAACUCAUGUGUUCACUGUGGUUGAAUUAUGACAUGAUAGAUGAGCAUGUAAAGAUUUGUAUGGAAAAACAGACUCUACAAAUUUUACAUGAUGGGAAAUAAAUAUUUUAGAGGUGGAUGGAUCAAAACGAAAAUAAGCACUUUGAGAUAGUGAAUAUCCGGAAAAAAAAAUACAAGGUUUAGAGCACGAUUCGAGUUGUUCGAUUGGCAGUGACUAGAAAAUGAACGAGUUCUUUCAUGUUACUUUGCAAAGAUGCUUCAAAUGUUAAAAGUUUCUCAUGAAGGUCAUCAAAGGUGAUUGGGGUAUCACGAGCCUGAACAACACAAACCAAUUCUUUAUACUCAUCUCUUAAUCCAUCUAGAAUCUUCUUUGUGAGAUCAUCAUUGAUUAUUGGUGCUCCGAGUAUAGCAAGUUCAUCUACACAAGCUUUAACAGAUUGCAGAAAGUCAGUAAUAUUUGAGGCACUUUUGGUUAAAUUUUUUAGAGUAUUUUUUACUUGCUUAAUCCUUCUACUAGAGGGUUUGGCAUAGGUAUUGGCAAGUAUGGUCUAUACUUUCUAUGAAGUUGAAGAAAACCGUGAAUCUUUUUCAUUUCACACACUUUCCAGAAUGGUAUGUACAAGAGAUAUAUACAGCAAAAUAGGGGAGAAAAUAGAAGGCUACACAUAUCUUUUCCUAAAUAAUAGGAAACAAAAUCAUAGGAAAAGAUCUUAAUGAAUCUUCCCAUUAUAAUCUAACUUAUUCAUAAAAUAACCUAAAUUACAAAUAAAUCCUAACUUUGAAUCUUUAUUUUCAACACUCCCCCUCAAGCUGGUGUGUGUAUAUCAUACAAACCCAGCUUGCUACUUAAGUUUUCAAAGUUAGGUCUUGCCAAUGCUUUAGUAAGGAUGUCUGCAAUUUGUUGUUUAGUUGGAAUUUACUUUAGCUCCACACUUCCACUAGUGACCUUCUCUGAGAUGAAGUGCCUAUCAAUCUCGACAUGUUUGGUUCGAUCAUGAUGCACUUGGGUUUUAGCGAUGCUGAUUGCUUCUUGAUUGUCACACCUCAUUAGAAUGGAUGACGGGUUGCACACGCCGAGUUCCCUGAGUACACGUUUUAUCCAAAUUCCUCCACAGAUUCUAUUUGCCAAAGCUCUAAACUCUUCUUCUGCACUGCUCUUAGCCAUAACCGACUAUUUCUUACUCCUUCAGGUUACUAGAUUUCCCCAGACAUAGGAAUAGUAAGCAGAUGUUGAUCUUCUAUCUAUGAUGCCUCAAGCCCAGUUUGCAUUAGAGUAGAUCUCAAUAUUCAUAUCUUCUCAUUUCUUAAACAAAAUCAUUUUUCAGGUGUCAUCUUUAGAUACUUCAGAAUUCUAAAGACUGCAUCCAUGUAUUCCUCUGUAGGAUUGUGCAUGAAUUGGCUCACAGCACUAAUAGCAAAGCCUAUGUCCGGACGGGUAUGUAAGAGAUAGAUUAAGCGACCAACCAGCCUUUAAUAUCUCUCCCUAUUGACUAGAACACUAUUAUCAACUGAGCAUAGUUUUUUUGUAGGGAUCCAUAAGAGUAUCAACUGGUUUGCACCCAAUCAUACCAGUUUCCUUUAGUAGGUCCAGAGUGAAUUUCCUUUGGGAGACAACAAUUCCCUUUCUAGAUCUUGCCACCCCCAUCUCAAAGAAAUAUUUGAGAUUCCCUAUAUCUUUAACUUCGAACUCUUGAGCUAGCUGUUUCUUCAACUUUUGCAGUUCUUCCUCAUCAUUUCCUGAGAGAAUGAUAUCAUCAACAUAUACAAUUAGGAGAGAGAUUUUCUCCUCUUGUGAUGUUCGAAGGAAUAGAGUGUGAUCUGCCUGACACUGAGUGUAACCAAGUCUCACAACUGCCUUUGCAAAUCUAUCAAACUAUGUUUUGAGGGGAUUGCUUAAGCCCAUACAAAGAUUUCUUGAACUUGCACACUUUAUUUCCAGCAAGAUUCAAAUCAAGACCCUAGGGAACUUCCAUAAACACUUCUUCUUCUAGAUCGCCAUUGAGAAACGCAUUUUUUAUAUCUAGUUGGUAUAAGUAACAAUCUAGAUUUACUGUUAAGGAGAGCAAGAUUCUGAUGGUGUUGAGCUUCGCAACCGGAGCAAAGGUUUCAAGAUAGUCGAUCCUAUAUGAUUGUGUGAACCCUUUAGCUACAAGACGAGCUUUGAGCCUCUCAAAACUUCUAUCUGCCUUGUAUUUAACAGUAAAAAUCCACUUGCAUCCAACUGAUCAUUUCCCUGUAGGAAGAUCUGUUAUAACCCAUGUACCAUUAUUCUCAAGAGCAUUUAUUUCUUCCUAAACAACUCUCUUCCACCCAGGAUGACCGAGAGCCUCCUGUAUAUUGUUGGAAACAUGUAUAUUGUCUAAAGAAUAAACAAAGGCUCGGUAUGAUGAGGAUAAACUAUCAUAUGAGACAUAUUUGCCAAUUGGAUAAGUGGUGCAACUUCGAACCCCCUUUCUUUCUGCAAUUGAUUUAUUAGAAUCAUCAAUGCCUGGAAUCAUGAAAUCAACCGAGACAAGACUAUCUAUACCUAUGUUGUCUUCACAAGAGCUUGGAUUUUGUUCAAUUUCUUGGACAUGUGGCUAAGUUUCGUGCUCUAUCUGCUCUCCAGUUCUUCUCCUCCUAUGAACAUUGAGAUUAUCAAUAGCAAUCUACGAAAGAGGUGAAUUUAGAGGCUGUAGUUGAUGAGAUGAUGGAUGAUGGGGUGACUCGGCUGAUUGUGGUUGGGAGGACUCAGAUGACUCAAAAGGCUGUGAAGAUAAGAUUGUUGAUUGUGGUUGUUGAACAAAUUGAUCAUGUGUGGUGGUUGAGUUAUGAGGGUUUUCAAGAGGGGUUUCCAGCUAAGAUUCCCAAGAAAAUUUCCAAGGCUGAUGUUCACUCGUACUCUCCCUCUGAACAACAGUUUUGCAAUAGAAAGACAGGUUUUCAACGAAUGUUACAUCUCUGGAAAUUUAUAUUUUUUUGUAUGAGGAGAGUAGCAUUUGUAUGCUUUUUUUAUGUCGAGAAUAGCCUAAAAUAUACACUUGAGAGAUCGGGGAUCAAUUUUGGUCAUGUGUUGAGAGUGAACAUGGACAUAUGCUGUGCAACCAAAUAUUUUUUGUGGUAAAUCUACUGAAACAGUCCUGGUGUGUGGAAAGAAAUUGAGAAGAACUUUAGUUGGGCAAUGAAACCCUAAGACUUUGGAAGCUAUUCAGUUGAUUAAGUAGGUUGCAAUGAGAACAACUUCACCCCAGAAAAAAAUUAAGAACAUGAGACGAGAACAAAAGACAUCGAGCCACUUCAAAAAGGUGUUUGUUUUUGCAUUCAACGACCCCAUUUUGCUGCGGGGUGUCAACACCAGAGCUGAUGUGAAGAAUGCCUUGAUGGAGAAGAUAUGAGCUGAGGGAGUCUUUGAAAUAUUCUUUGGCAUUGUUGGUUUUAAGAACUUGGAUUUUGGUAUUGAAUUGGGUUUGAAUCAUGGCAUUAAAGUUUUGGAAGAUUUGAUUAAUUUCGGAUUUAUUUUUCAUGAGAAACACCCAAGUGAGACGAGUAUGAUCAUUAACAAAGGACAAAAACCAACGAGCCCCUGAAAUAUUUUUAAUUCUUGAGGGACCUCACACAUCACUGUGAAUUAAAACAAAUAGACGAGAAGACUUAUACUUAACACUUGAAUAAACAUUCUGAGUAUGUUUUGCAAAUUGACAAAUUUCACAAUGAAAGAAUAAAAUAUUUUUUUAUUAAUGAAUAGAUUGAGAAAAAUUUUUGCGAGAUACAUGAAACUAGGAUGACCUAGUCGAUAGUGUAACAGAACAAUUUCAUUAUCAUUAUUAAUACUUGGACUAACAAUAGAAUGAGGAGAAUUAGUUGACAGACUCUUGGACUUGGCACAGUUUGCUCUCGAAUCUUGUAUAAAGGAGGAUUGAUCACUUUUCAGUAGAUAGAGUCCAGAACAUAGCUCAGCACUGCCAAUCGUCUUCCUCGAAUUCAAGUCCUGAAAAACACACAUAUUUGGAUAGAAUUUAGUUACACAGUUCUGAUCACGAGUAAAUUUACUAAUUGAAAGUAAAUUGUAAGCCGAAUUGGGCACAUAAAGCACAUAAUUAAGGUGUAACUCCUUCAUGAGUCUGAUGGUACAUGUCCGUGCUAUUUUUGUGUGAGAGCCAUAUGCGAUCCGAACUGAAGUGUUGUUGAUGCUAGUUUUAUAGUCUUGGGACAUUGAGGCAUCUUCGGUCAUGUGAUCAAAAGCACCAGUGUCAACUAUCCAGGGUUUACUUGCUCCACUAUUGGUUGUAAAUGCUGAAUGAGUCUGUUUCUGAGCCACUAGAUCUAUCCCUACAUUGGAGUUCAAAGUGGCUUGAUUGAAAAGCUUCUAAAGAAUCUCCAUUUGCUCUUUGCUGAAUGGAUUUAGCUCGAGUAGGGCCUGAUUGUCCGUGGUGGAUGCUGCAUGAGCGUGAGAUUCAUGGUCACCUUUGGAAUGGGGUUUCCAAUCAAUAGGUUUGCCAUAAAUUUUCCAAUAGGUCUCCUUAUAGUGGCUUGCCUUACAACAGUGAUCACACCAUGGUCUUUCUUUCUUUGUAUGAUUUCACUAACCCCUACAGAGUUAGAUGCACGGGCAACAAGUGCAAAGGCAUCCAGUGUUGGUUCUGAUGACCCUAUCAUCACCUUUUUCCUGCUUUCCUCACGCCUAACUUCAAAAAAAAACUUCAUGAGGGCGCGAGAGAGGCUUUGUCCCGAGUACACGGCUCCUCACCUGAUCAAGAUCUUUAUUAAGUUCGAGGAGAAAUUUAAAUGUUCUCUUCUGUUCCACAAUCUUCUUGUACAUGGUUGUAUCAUUGGUGCACUUCCAAGGGUAUGUUUCAAAUAGAUCAAGGUGCUGCCAAUGCCUAGUCAGAGUAUUAAAGUACCGAGUGACAAAUUGUUCUCCUUGGCGGAAGUCAUGGAGGAUAGUUUCAAUCUGGAAUAACUAUGUUGUGUUCUUAGAGCUAGAAUAUGUUUCCUUUCCAGCAUCCCAUAUGUCCUUUGCAGUCCCAAAUAGAAGAAAAUUCUCACUAAUAUCAUUGUUUAUGGAAUUGAUAAGCCAUGACAUGAUCAUGUUGUUCUCUGACUUUCAUCUUUUGAAACUAGGAUCUGACACCUCUGACAUAGCCUCCUCACCCGUGAGAUAAUCAUCUUUGCCCUUGCCGCAGAUGAACAUCAUGACAGAUUGUGACCACUGGAGAUAAUUGUGGUCGUUCAAUUUAUGACUGGUAAUUAAGAUCGGUGAAGAAUCAGUUCCACCAUGAGUUGCAGUCUCCAUGUUUCUUCUAGACUGUGAAGUUGUAUCUGAUGAAGUCGCAACGGAUGUUGAUGAGGAAGCCAUCUCGUAUUUUGUCAUAGAGGAUACAACUGAUGGGAGAGGAAGAAAGGUGGAUACUGUCAGAAAAGAGGUGGUAGAAGAGAAGAGGGAAAUGGCGAUUGAUAGGAGAACUAGGGUUUAGAGCCCAGCUAUGAUACCAUGAAGAAAACUGUGUAUCUUUUUCACUUCACACACUUUCCAAAAUGGUAUGUACAAGAGAUAUAUACAGCAAAAUUGGAGAGAAAAUAAAAGGCUACACCUAUCUUUUCCUAAAUAAUAGGAAACAAAAUCAUGGGAAAAGAUCUUAAUGAAUCUUCCUGUUAUAAUCUAACUUAUUCCUAAAAUAGCAUAAAUUACAAAUAAAUCAUAACUUUGAAUCUUUAUUUUCAACAGAAGUCUUGGCUCUGGCAACAAAUGAAAUAUUCAUGGGAGAAAGAGAGCCAACAAGGGCAUUUAGAAUGAGCUGAUCUUGACAGAUCCAAAUAUUGUAGGCUGGAUUUGGUGUUGUUGCAUUAUUUACUAUAAAAGUUUCAGGUGGACAAGGUUUGGAGCCAUCUACAUAACCUAAAAGAUCAUAUCCAAUGAAAAGAGUUUGAAACUAAAGUUUUCAAGAAACAUAGUUGUUGGUGGUAAGUUUGGGUGGUGCUUGAGCGGAUAAGUUUAUGGUAAUCAAUUGAAAUUCAUUAGUGUGAAGAGUGGUUGAAUUUACUGGUGUGGCAGUGGUGAUUCUUGAUUCGAAGUGUUAGUUGGAUUGUUUUGAAUGGCCAUUGCAUUUAUUGGGAACAAAGAAGAGGAAGCUCUCAAAGAGUAUUUGGUAGAGAAUUCACACACUUCCAUUAACAAUUAACUGAAUAUAUAGCACAAGUAUUGGAAGAAACCAAAAAAACUAAAGCUCCUAAAAAUACUAAAAAUAAAAGAUAAGAAUACAAUUCAAAUACAAACUAACUACAUUAAGAAAGAGUCAAAUUAAGAGAUAAAGAAAAUAUUAAAAUAAUAAAUAUAUUAAAUAUUAACUAUUAAUUAAGUCAUUAAAUAAAAAAAACAAACAAACAAACAAACAGCCACUUAGUGUUUUAACAACAGAUUUAAUCCUAUUUGGUAUUGAGGUACUGUAGACUCUGUGGAAAAAAAAUUAUAAUUGUAAAAUAAAAGUUAAUAAUAUAUAGUAAAUAAUAAUUUUUUACAAAACUAGUAAAAAUACAAUAGAUUUUUCAUCUUAUAAAUUCUAAAAUUAAAUAAAUUUAGCUAACUAUUGUUUACUAAAUACUUUAAUAUUAUAAUUUCGUCCAACCCCAACCCCAAACCCAAACGAAGUCUUUGUAUGAUUGAAAUUCAGAAACGUUAUGGACAUCAGCGAGCAGAACCCGAGGGGAUUGUGUGGAGCUCGUAGUUCUAGGGAAGUUGGAGGAUCGAAGGCCUCAUUGCGUGGGAAAAUUGGAGGUAAGGUGACAGGAAAUUUCAAAUUCAGUGUCGAAAAUAAACUAUUCAAUUUUAUUGAAUUGAACAAUGGUAGCUCUAACUCAUUGCAAAACUCGAUUUUUUCAUGUAGGAAAGUGAUAGCUUAAGAAGAUGGAAGGGUGUUAGUCUUUUUGUUAUCUCCGUUCAUUUUCUAUUUUGUUCGGUCAAAUAAAUUAUGGAAUCAAAUUGACUUGGUCUCGUACAUAAACUAAAUUCAGAAUAUCAUGUACCAAAAAAGGUUAUAAUUAGAAGGGUAUAAAAAGUCAUAGAAGGUGUUGUUACUGAGACUUUCAGCCACCAAAGUUAACUGCGUUGUUGGUGCCAAUGGAUUCCAGGCCGUUCACUUUGUUUUAAGUGAGAACUUUCAUAAGUUAUGACUAGUUGACCACGUUUUGUUUGCAUUUGAUAUCACGAAAAGACGGCUUAUAAACCAAGAGGGUUGCUAAACAAAUUAAGUUUACUAAUCCCAUUAAUUUGACAAUUAAUUAUCUAAGAAACCAAAAUUAACUGAUUUAAAUUAGGAAAUCUUAAGUAUUUUCGUAUUGUACGGACGUACUUUUAGUAGAUCUAUUUUCUUACUUUAUUUUGAGUUGAUGGCAGAUCAUAAAUAAUUACAAAUCAAUUCACAGCCACGGUAAUUGUAAGAGAGCUUCGGGUUCAAGAGUUAUAAUUGGGAGUAGUGAUGUUUGAACUUCAUAAUUUAUCUCACAAGUCCAUUACUUUUCAGUUAAUCUCAUUAAUUUCUAAAAUUACCAUUAUUCGGUGCCACUGCUGGACUGAUGGGCACAUGCUUCUCAGUACUGAUUCGUGCGGAAUUAGCAAUGAUUACCCGGGUUCAAAGUUUUACUGUUCAGAAAUUAUCCAAUCACAAGUUGACUUCAGGAAAAUAUUUUAAUAAGCAUGUGUGUCCAGAAAAUUCCACACGGAUCAUAUUACUGGAUUAGGACUACAAACCAGCUGAUUAUAGUCAACAGAUUUGAGCCCACUGAUUUGCAAUAUUGGAACAAAGGAAAGGUCCUUUUUUAAAGGCAAUUUGCUUGGUCAACUUCAAUUGCCUAUUUAAUUAAUAACAUAAUCCUCAAGUAAUACCGCAAGAUGUUAUAUUUAUACAAACUAAGAUAUUAUUAUGUUAAAACGUUAUCUCAAGAUUAGAUUAAUCCAAAGUUGUUAGGAUUAUAACUAUAAUAUAAAGUAAUUGUUCAUGAAGCUUACAACAUGAUAAUGACUGGAAAAGACUCUUGAGGGAUGGAUAUUUCAUUUGGGUCGAAUUUCAGUAUAUUCACUUUGAGAAUCACAAAACUUUCUCAUAAGGUACAAACAAAAUAAAAACAAUCUGAAUAUCACAAUCACUACGUUACAAAUUAAAAAUAAAAAUUCAAUCACAUUUUUUCUUGUUUGAAUGUAAAUGCAUAAGCUACAAGUUAUGCACACAUUGUUGGACAAAUUUGUAUGGUAAACAACUAAAUAUGAAAAUUUGUUGAAAAGAACAAAGCAAAUACAAUUAUGCACAUUGAGCUAAACAUUUAUGAGUUAAAGCUUUGGAAAAUUACACACUUGUGAUGGCUCCUCUUUUUCGAAACGGCCAACAUAUUGAGCACAGCGUGAGCCAGAAACUUUUCUUCUCCUCGUCUACUGGUUGAGAUUUAGCAUCCCUAUUAGCAACAAGAUCUACCAUGAACUGGACAACAGCCUGAAAAAACAUAGCCCUUAAAGUGAGUAAAAAUGCAAUAAGGAUGUUUAAUGAUUAUUAGGUGCAGGCACCUGUAACUUAUCAAGUGUGAGUUCAAAUCCAAAUCCGCACUUUAUAUUUACAGGCGCCUGCACUUGAAGGCCACUGCAAAAGUGUAAAUGUAAUUUCAGCAACAAAACAUUAGCUAAAAUUGAGAAGGUCGGGAAUUACCUGAGCACCCAAUUUAGCAACUUGCCUUGGUGGAACUUCUAAAGGAGUCUCAUCGGUGCGAAAAACUCUCAAUUUUGACAACAACCUGAAAGAAUCUGGUAAAAUCCUUAUUUGAUCAUCACUUAUGUCCAACUGUUCCAGCAUCUCAAGAUUUCCAAUUGACCUUGGCAAGGCUCUAAGAUCAGCAAAGUUGUUCCCUACAUUCAAUUUCUUGAGACUUACCGCAAAGCACAGGUUCUCGGUGAUUGACUCAAGCUCAUUGAAGCUUACAUCAAGCUCCUUUAACUUGGUAAGGUUACCUAUAGUUGUCGGUAACCCUUUUAUUCUAUUAUAAUGCAAAGUAAGAAUCUCCAAGCACUCGAGCUUCCCGAUUGCCUCAGGUAGAGCCCUGAGCUGAUUGAAAUCCAAUCGUAGCUCUGUAAGCGAUGAGCAGUUUCCAAUCGUGUAAGGAAGAUCCUCGAGUUCAUUUGUUUCCACAUUCAGUGUCUUCAAAGAGGUUAAACACCCAAUUGUAUCCGGCAAAUGGGUGAACUCAUUUGAACCCAAAUCCAAAUUCAUUAGGUUGAUCAAGUUCCCAAAAGUAGCUGGUAGUGUUUUGAGCCGAUUUGCAUGAAGGUCUAGAUCAAUCAGGCUGAUUAGAUCCCCAAAUGAGUCUGGGAGGUUAAUGAGUUGAUUUGAGUGGAUAUCAAGCUUUUUUAAGGUUUUGAUUCCAGCAAUAGAGGAUGGAAGAGCCAUGAUACGGUUUUCAGAUAAGUUCAAUUCAGUAACAUCCUUCAAUUUUCCAAUUGAUACAGGAAGCCAUUCAAUCUGGUCCGUUAACUUGCCUCUAAGAUCAAGAACUACUGCUCCGGUUUUAGCAGAGUUCUCGAUAACAGCUGCCAUCUUCAUCAGACUCAAUUUUUCAGUGUUUUCUUCACCUGUAAUUACAUCAAAAUCUACAUUCAGACACUUGAGGAACUUUACAUGACAUGUAACACGAAUAAAUUCCACAUCAAACAAUGAUCCUAGUCAAUCCUUUUAAUGACAGAGAAAACAAUUAGUAAAGUUAUAAGCAUUUAUCAAAAUCCAGAUUUAAAUAAGAACAAGAAAUAAUAACAUUGACCUUCUAAAUCUUGAAUUGAAACCCUCAUUAAUUUUCAUAUAUUUCAACAUUUCAAGAUCUAAAGAAGAGCAAAUAUGCAAAAUUGGAUGAGAAAACAUGAAAAAUCUCCAAAUAAACAUAAAAAAUAAGUGCAUGGUUAAUUUACCUAUAAAGAAAGAACCCUUUGUAGAAGCACUUUUGACCAAAUCCUUUAAACCAUCUUUCUUAAUUUCACCAUCUUCUCUUGUCUUCACCAAAGUCUCAUCAGUGAUCACACUUUCCUUUUCAAUUUUACCACCUGAGUCAGCAAAAGCAGCCACUUUCUCCAUCUGGUUAUCCCCAGAAACCAAGCCAGAAGCUCGUCGGACAAGUUCAUCAAAGAUCCCAUAAAGCUUAUCAACUUCAACCAAGUGACUGGCUUCUUUCCUCUGUUCACAGCUUUGAAACAAAACCAUAGUCUUUUUAAACUGCUGCAGCACAGAAAACAAAUCUUCAGAAACAUCACGUGGCUUCUCUUGCUUUGUUAUUUCAUCAAGCUUGGUCUGUUCUUCGGUAUCAACAGUUUGGAGAACAGACAUGGCUGCUUCCACUUGUUCAAUGGAGGGUCUUGGUGGCAGUGAUCUGUAAAGUCUCGUGAUCUCUUCAACAGCUUCUACAAAAGCAGACGAAGGGGAAGGCUUUUCUUUGGACAACAACACAGUCAUGGCUUCGGUGGUUUUUAGAUUUUGCUGCAGGAAUGCCAAUCACCAAAUUUUUUAAAGGUAUUGGACGAUAUUGUGAGCUUUUAUAUGGAUUUUUUUUUUUUUUUUUUUUUACAUCAACCAACGCAAGAGAUGAGGCCAUUAUUUUAAUAUGGAAAUAAAAAUUCAUUAAGCCCCUCUAGGUUUUGUUUGAAUAUACAUGCCUUCCUUAGUUUAAAAACUAGUCAAAUAAACCCCCUUUUGAGUAAAAUGAUUUUUUAUAAUUAGGAUUUCUCUAUGAUAGUAUAUGAGUUUAUAUAGCAUUGAUAAUGCAGUUAUUGUGCACUCCUAAAUUUAAUUAUUUUAAUCUAUACCAUUCAUAUAGUGAAUAAUUAACCUUCAGGUUGCAAGUAAAUGUAAUUUUUUUAUUUUUAAUUAAUUGACAAAAGAAAUUUUCUAUUAUGUCAGGAUAAAAAUCCCACAAUCAAUAAUGAGAUUAUUAGAUUUAAAUAUUAGAAUCUUCACCCUUAAUUUAAUUUUAGUGGAUAAAUAAUUAUGUACCUAGUAAUUUGUAAGUUGUAGUAUUUCUUCAUAUUUUAAAUUAUUUUUUAUCUAAUCAAUUGAAAAAUAAUUUUUAAGUCACCAAAAAAAUUGAAAAGAAUGCAAAUAAUUUUGAAAUUAUUAUAUACUAUUUAUAACUUUACAAUUUUACAUUUUUUCGUUUAUAUUUAGUAUUAGAAACAUACAUACAUACAUACAUACAUACAUGCAUACAUACAUAUAUAUAUACAUACAUAUAUAUAUAUAUAUAUACACACACACUUCGUAUAAAGAUAUUCACAAGGUCUUAUAAUAAUUUGUGUUGUAUAAAUUUAAUUGUAAAACUAUUAAUACUUGAACAAUAAUUGUAUAGAAGGCGUUGUAAUUGUUGGGUAUAGCGUGAAUACAAACAUUCAUUGGAAAUGACAUCGUUUUGUUUGCUGAUUUGGUUCAGAAAACAUAUGUGACAUUAGCGUGAGUUACUUAAGCCAUCAAAACGGCAUCGACUAACUGGUGAUGGGCUACGGUUUGGGCUAAUAUGAUUUAAAUGGAAAACAUUUGACACUCACAUAUGGCUUUAGUGAUUCAUAAACGGUUAAAAAAGUUAGGUCACGCAUCUCUCAUCUGUACAAUCUAGAUUUGAAGUUGUUUCAUUUUAUAUUUUUAUAAGUUGGUUAUCCAACUAACUUUAGGGGCGUAGAAAUUGAAUCAUAAAAGGAUAUAUAAGAGAGAGAGAGAGAGAGAGAGAGAGAGAGAGAGAGAGAGAGAGAGAGAGAGAGAAAGGCUAAACUUGUUCUCUGUAUUAUCAUCACUCAAUCUCUAAAAAUUCUCCACCAAUAAAACUCUCUAAUAGCAUUACCCGUUGAUGUAGGUCAAUAAUGGCCGAACCACGUAAUUGAUUCGUUUUGGUGUAUUUAUUCUGCCAUUUGCUCUAAUUCUUUGUUUCAAUUUUAAAAAGUGAGAACUAGGAUUCUUAAUAAUCAUUGAUUAAUUUUGUUUCAAAAUUGGUGAGUUUGCAACUUAAUUAAGCAACCAAAGCAAUAAGAGUUGUUCUUGUUAAGUUUCAAAUACAGAUCAACUCUAGCAAGUGGUAUUAAAGCAAGUUCAAAACAGAAUAAGAACUUGCUGAGAUAAACAAGAAAGCAAGGGGUACUAUAAUCUUGACUCUUGAUGACUCUGUAAUUAGGGAAGUAGUAAAAGAAACAACAGUAGCUAUGUUAUGGGAGAAAUUUAAGAGAUGGCUUUAAAAAUAAGUAAACAUCAUAUAUGGCUUUGGUGAAGGCUUGAUGGCAAGAGGGAAACUAGAUUUAAGUAAAGGAAAGAAAAAGAAGCAAAACAAAGUAAAGAACAAAAACUUGAAAUGUUUUCAUUGUCAUAAAGAAAGGCAUUUUAAAAGAGAUUGUCCAUAUGGGAGAUACAAGUCAAAGGACCAAAAGAAUCAGAGUAAAGAUGUUGCAGUUGCUAAAGAAUAGGGUUAUGAGUCAUAAGAUGUUCUUGUUGCAUUUAAUGUCAAACAAGAAGGUAAACAAGUGCUUGAUUUUGGUUGUUCUUUUUAUACAUGCCCAUUUAAGAUUCAUUUCACUAAGUAUCAAGAAUUUGAUGGUGGCAAAGUGAUGGUGGAGAAUAAUGCUAUGUGCAAAAUCACAGAUAUUGAUAAUGUCAAACUUAAUAUGCAUGAUGGAUCAAUAUUUAAAUUGAAACAAGUGAGACAUAUUCCUGAUCUCAAAAGAAAGCUAAUCUCCAUAGGAAUGAUGGAUUAAAUAGGUUGCAAUAUUAAAGUUGAACAUGGGGUUUUGAAAGUAAUUAAGGUUUUUCUAGUCUGAAUGGAAAAAAGUGAGAAAUAUUGGGCUUUAUAUGUUGGAUGGUACUACUGUCAUAGGGGAAUUAACUAUUGCUUUAAGUACCAAUAUUGAUAAACAAAACUUUGGCAUCGAAGGCUAGGGCAUAUGAGUCAGAAGGGACUGAAUAAACUAUCAAAACAAGGGCUGUUAGAUGAUGACAAGAUUGGUAAUUUAGUGUUUUAUGAGGACCAUGUCUUAGGUUCGAGAGAACUAGCUUAAGUAAUCAGUUUGUAUAUCUAAGGGCAUCAUAAAUUAUGUUCACUGAAAUUUAUGGGGGCCUUCACAGGAGUUAUCUAUAGGGGGAACAAGAUACUUCUUCUUAAUCAUUGAUGAUUUCUUGGGAAGGUUGCUAAAGAACAAAGAUCGGGUUUUUGAGAAGUUCAAUGAAUGAAAAACUUUGUUGAAAAUCAAACAUGAAGAGGGGUGAAGAAGUUGAGGAUUGACAAUGGACUUUAGUACUGUAAUCUACAAUUUGAUAGUUUUUUUUCAAAGGAAAUGAUAGCUAGACACAAGACUGUGAGGUUAACACCUCAACAAAAUGGGCUAGUUAAAAGGAUGAAUAAAACUCUCAUGGAUAAAGUGAGAAGUAUGUUAAUCCAAUCCAAGCUAGCUUGAAGUCUGUGGGCUGAAACUCUUGUCACUGCUUGCUAUUUGGUUAACUUAAGUCCUUCUACUGCCAUUGGCUGCAAGACUCUAUUUGCAAUAUGGAAUGGAAAGCUUGCAAAUUAUAAAAAUAUGAGGGUGUUUGCUUGUCAAGCUUAUGCACAUAAGAGCCAAGGGAAGCUGGCACUUAGAGCUCUUAAGGGUGUUUAUUAGUUAUCUAGAUUGAGUGAAAGGUUAUAACUUUGGUGUAUAGAUUUGACUCCACACCUAAGUGUUUAAUCAGUAGGGAUGUUGUUUUCAAUAAAGAAGUUACGAGCAAAUUUCAAGCAAAUAAGGAUAAACAAGCUGUCAGUGCUACUGAUGUUCAGUUCUAGGUGGAACCAUUGCUCAAAGCAGCUCAGAUGAUAUUGUAGAAUCAAACAAAGCUGUUGAAGAUUCACGUGAGCUAGAAACCUCCCAACAACAAACUUAAGAAUAGUCUCAGUCCCAAGACUAUCAACUAACUAGAGAUAGGCAAAGAAGAUAGAUAAAAGUUCAUAAACGAUAUGGAUAUGUAGACUUAAUCACUUAUGGACUGUAUUAUGCACAUGACAUAACUGAAGAAAAACCCAAAAGCUUCAAGAAUGCUAUCAACAAUCAGCAUAAAAGGAAAUGGAUAUCAAUAAUAGAUGAGGAGAUGAGUUCUUUGAAGAAGAUAACACUUAAGAAUUAGUCCCAAAGCCAAAGAAUAAAAGAAUAGUGGGCUGCAAGUGGAUAUACAAGGUUCAAAAUGGUUGUAUAGCAUCUAAAUCAAGAAUAAUCAAGGUCAAACUUGUUGCAAAAGGGGUACACUCAGAAGGAAGGCAAUAAUUUCAAAGAAGUGUUAGCAUCAGUAAUUAGACAUGCUUCAAUAAAGAUAUUACUUUCAUUGACAAUAGCUUUUGACCUGGAGCUAGGUUAUUUAGGUGUCAAAAUAGCCUUCUUACAUGGUGAGCUACAAGGGGAGAUUAACAUCUCACAACCUGAAGGGCAUAAACAAAGUUGAUGAGGUAUGCUUACUUAAGAAAUCUCUUUAUGGCUUAAAGUAGUCCCUAAGGCAAUGAUAUCUCAAGUUUGAUGAAUUCAUGGUCUUUCAUAAGUUCAAAAGAUGCAGUUAUAGUUGUUGUGUAUUUCAAAUAAUAUCAAGCAUGUAAGCACAUAUAUCUACUCUUAUAUAUGGAUGACAUGCUAAUUGAAUGUAAGGAAAGAAUCGAGAUAGAGAACUUAAAAAGGCUCUUCAAAACAGCUUUUUGUAUAAAGGAUUUGGGUACUGCAAGAAAGAUGCUAGGAGUGAAAUUAUUAAAAAUAGAAAAUAAGGAACUAUCUUUUUAUCCUAAGAGAAGUGUAUUAAGAAGGUACUAGAAACAUAUGAUAUGCUUGACUCAAAACCUAUACAUAAUCCACUGGCUGCUCAUUUCAGAUUAUGCAAUCUUUUUGUUCAAAAAAUAGAUAAAGAGAAAUCUAAAACGCAGAGGGUUCCUUAUGCAAAUGUUGUUGGGUGUUUAAUGUAUACUAUAAUACUUAUUAAACCUAACAUCUCACUUACUGUGAGUGUGGUCAAUAGAUACAUUGCAGCACCAAGAAAGGAACAUUAGAGAGGUCUUCAAUGGAUAUUGAGGUAUCUUAAGGGAACUAUGAACCUUAAUUUUGUUUAUAAAAGAAGUAGUAGAAUUGUUAAGGGUUUGUGGGGCUAUGUUGACUCUGAUUAUACUACGGAUCUAGACAUAAAAAGGUCACUUAUUGGAUAUAUGUAUAUGUUGAAUAGAUGCUUGAUCAAUUAGAAGGCAAGUCUGUGGCAUGUUGUAUCUCUAUCCACUACUAAAGCAGAGUAUACCGCAGCUACAGAAGUAGUUAAAGAGGCAAUAUGGCUAAAUGGGUUAUUGAUAGAACUUGGUCUGAUUCAAGAGUUUAUUAUAGUCUUUUGUUAUAGCUAAGUGCUCUGCAUUUAUGCAAGAACCCAGUUUAUUAUGAGACAUAAAAGCAUAUCGAUAUUAAACUUCAUUUUAAAAGUAGUGAGAUCUCAAAGGAUGUCAUCAAUAUGGCUAAAAUCCAUACUAACGAAAAUCUCUCUGAUAUGCUUACUAAGCUGAUUCUAGUUCUUAAGUUAAAAAAAAAAACAUCAAAUUUAGUUGGAGUUUGUAGUAUCUGACUGUGAAAAGGAUUUUGUGAAGGAGCCAAUUUGAGUUGUUUGAUUCAAGGUGAAGAAUUGUUGAGUAUAGAGUGAAUACAAACACGUAAUGGAAAAACAUUGUUUUGUUUGCUGGUUUGGUUCAGAAAACACACGUGAUGUUGGCGUGAGUUACUUAAGUCAUCAAAACGACAUCAACUAAUUAGUGAUGGGCUGCGUUUUCGGGUAAUAUAAUUUAAGUGGAAAACAUAUGAUGCUCACAUGUGGCUUUAGUGAUUUAUAAAUGGUUAAAAUCGUUAGGCCACACGUCUCUCAUUUGUACAAUAUGAAUUUGAAGUUGUUUCAUUUUCUAUUUUUGCAAGCUGGUUAUCCAGCGAACUUCAGGUGCAUGGGAAUUGAGUCAUAGAGGGAUAUGUGAGAGAGAGAGGCUAAGCUUGUGCUCUGUAUCAUCAUUAUCACUCAAUCACUGAAAAUUUCUCUUUAAAAUCAUCAAUGAAACUCUCUGAUAGUUUUACCCGUGGAUAUAGGUCGAACCACAUAAUUGAUUUGUUUUGGUGUGUUUUUUUUCCAUUUGUUCUUAAUUCUUUGUUUUAAUUUCAAAGAGUGAGAACUAGGGUUCUUAGUAAUCAUUGAUUAAUUCUUGUUUUGAAAUUGGUGAGUUUACAACUUAAUUGAUCUUACGAAGCAACCUGGGCAGUAAGAGUUAUUCUUGUUAAGUUCCAAAUAGAGAUCAACUCCAACAGUAAUAACUUAUUUGAUAUAUGUUUUAUUAAUAAUACUAUAUGAGUCACAACAAAUGAAAAUAUUUUAUUCAACAACUAUAAUUAAAAAACAUGUGUAUAUAACUACAUGAUAGCUUGGAUAUACGCUUUUAGGCUUAGGUUAUUUUAACUUGAUUUUUAACAUAACAUGUAAACUAUUAAUUUUAUGCAAUUUAAUGGUGAGUGAUAUAACAUCAUAAAAUGUUGCUCUGCCUUUCAAUAUCAACAUUAGAUUGUGAGAGAUUAAUGACUCAAAUUUUAAUUUAAAAUAUUCCAAACCAUGUUUUUAUAAUGAAAAUAUAAAAGUAUACAGAGAAUUUUUUUUUUGUCAUUCUUUCCCAUGUUUCAAAAAGUGUCCAAGAAUUCCAUGGCAAGGUUGAUUCUGUGGAGCAAAGAAGAAUUCCGAGGGAGACAAAAGAAGUUGGAGAAGCUAAUGAACCAGCUCCGAAGCCUCAAGCUUAGUAGAGUUCAGUAUGUCAAGGGGAAUAAGAUUAAGGAGGUGGAACGUCAAAUCCAAAACAUGUUAGCCGACGAUGAAAUCUAUUGGAAGCAGCGUUCUCGGGCAGAUUGGCUUAAGGGAGGGGACAAGAACAUGAAGUUUUUCCAUCACAAGGCAUCAUCUAGGAAAAAGAAGAACCGAAUCUGGGGGAUUGAAAACGCAGCUGGAAACUGGAUUGAAAAUGCUGAAGGAGUGGAGUUUGAGUUCAGUAAAUACUUCACAAAUACAUUCGCUACCUCCAAGCCUAAUCAAGACCAAAUAGCAGCUGCGCUAUCAGGGAUAUCUCGAAGAGUUUCUACUGAGAUGAACGAGUCCUUGGAGAUGCCCUUCACACCCGAAGAAGUAGUGGAAGCUUUGACGCAAAUGUGCCCAACAAAGGCACCGGGUCCGGAUGGCUUGCUAGCAGUGUUCUUCCAAAAACACUGGCAAAGGGUCAAGCAAGGAGUCCUCUCCACAAGCCUCCACAUCCUUAACAAGCAAGGUGAUGUUGCCCCUCUCAACCAUACUUACAUCGUUUUAAUUUCAAAAAAGGGGAAGCCUAGGAAGGUUACUGAUUUUAGACCUAUUAGUCUAUGCAAUGUCAUUUAUAGGAUUGUGGCGAAGGCAAUAGCUAAUAGGCUUAAAAAUGUACUGCCCAAUCUUAUUUCGCCAAUGCAAAGUGCUUUUAUUCCUAAUCGGUUGAUUACCGAUAAUAUCAUUGUAGGAUAUGAGUGUCUCCAUAAGAUAAGGCAUUGUAAAGGAAGAAAAAAUGGCUUGGUGGCUUUGAAGCUAGAUGUGAGCAAAGCAUAUGAUAGGCUGGAAUGGGUAUUUCUGGAGCAAACGAUGAAGUCUCUUGGUUUCUCGCAGAAUUGGGUCAGCUUAAUCAUGAGGUGUAUAAGCUCAGUGUCAUCCUCGGUGAUCAUAAAUGGUGCUGUAAGCAGGGUGAUUCGACCGCAGAGAGGGCUCAGACAAGGCUGUCCCUUAUCCCCGUAUCUAUUUAUCAUUGGUGUUGAAGCCUUCUCCUCUCUUCUCCAACAAGCAGAGCACCAGAGGCUUAUUCAUGGGCUGUUCUUUGGGAAUGAGCUUAAAAUUUCUCACCUCUUAUUUGCGGACGAUAGCCUGGUUUUCACGAGAGCCUCAGAUACCGAUUGCCAAAGUCUGAAGAAGAUAUUCGACUGCUACUCUGCAGCCUCAGGCCAGCUGUUCAAUUUCGAGAAAUCUUCAAUGUUUCUAAGUGGCAAUAUCCCGACUGGGCAAGCGUCAAAAAUCAAAGAAAUCUUCUAGCUCAAUAUUGUUUCAAGACAUGAAAAAUACUUAGGUUUGCCCUCGAUGAUCGGGAGAAAGAGAAGUAGCUUCUUUAACGAUAUCAAGCUGAAGAUCCACAACAAAGUUUCCAGCUGGCAGCACAAGUUCUUCUCAGCAGGAGGCAAAGAGGUUUUGAUCAAGGCGGCUGCCCAAGCUAUUCUCGCUUAUGUAAUGAGCGUUUUCAAGAUUCCCAUGGGCAUAUGUGAUGACAUCCAGCAAAUAAUAGCAAACUUUUGGUGGGGAUCUAGGAACGAUAAAAAAGCUAUUCACUGGUCGAGAUGGAACAAGCUAAGUCAGGCUAAGUGCAGAGAAGGAAUGGGGUUCAGAGAUUUCUCAAGUUUUAACCAAGCACUGGUAGCCAAACAAGGUUGGAGGAUCCUGUAGUUCCCAGACUCCCUAGUGGCAAAAAUUCUGCAGGCGAGAUACUUCCAGCACAAAGACUUCAUGAAUGCAAGACUUGGCUCUAACCCCUCCUUUAUUUGGAGAAGCAUUUUAUGGGGCCGGCAAGUAAUAUCCAAGGGUUCAAGAUGGAGGAUUGGUAAUGGCCAAAGCAUUAUGCUGCACAAGGAGAAUUGGCUGCCUAGACCUCUGACAUUCAAACCGAUCUCUAAGCCAAGCUUACCAGCUGAUGCGUUAGUUGCCGAGUUAAUAAAUGAAGAGCAUACUUGGAAUGAAGGGCUGAUUCACAGGCAUUUUGCUAAAAUAGAUGCGGAAGCAAUUGUUAGAAUUCUGUUGCCAAGGAGGCCAAUGAAGGACGAAGUAAUUUGGCAUUACGAUAGGAAAUGCCAGUAUUCGGUUAAGAGUGGCUAUCAGAUUGCAUUAAAUCUGAAAUUUCCUGCCAAACCGACAAGUUCAGCAGCUACUGAGAACCAAUGGAAUGCUAUAUGGCUGCUUACCUUGCCUGAGAAAAUCAAAAUUUUUGCUUGGAGAGCUGCAAAUAACCUCUUUCCUUCAACCGAAAAUCUCUAGAAAAGGAAGGUACUUCAGGAGCCAUUAUGUCAGUUUUGUAACAAGAAGCUGGAAACCAUUUUUCAUGCUUUAGUGGGCUGUAAGGUGGUGCAGAAAAUCUGGAAAAUUACCAAAUUUGAGGAUGAUCUGAAAGAUAGUGUUGAGCAAGACAUGCUAAGCUUGUUGAUUGAGUUGAAGUUGAGAAGAAGUAAAGAUGACAUUGAGCUUUUGGUUACGAUUCUAUGGAUGAUUUGGAAUGCUCGAAACAACUGGAUUUUUAAAGGAGUAAAAGACAGCCCCCAUGUGACAGUCUCUAAAGCUGAAGCUGUGCUGGAAGCCUUCCGCAGAACCCAACUUCCAGCAGCUACCCAUAUAGACAUCCAGAGCUCCUCGAAGCUAAAGGCCUGGAAGCCUCCCCAAAGAGGAUAUUUUAAGGUCAAUGUAGAUGCUGCCACCAAUUCGGAGAAGCAAAUUGCUAGUUUAGGAGCUGUAAUUCGAGAUGAAGCUGGGAAUGUGAUUGCUGUUGCUGUCAAAGUUUCCAAGUUCUAUGGUGAUGUGUUUAUUGCAGAGGCUGAAGCAAUCGAAUGGGGGCUUCGUCUUGCAGGAAAUGCCUGUACAGAGCCUUUGAUUGUGGAAUCAGAUGUGCAAGAGGUUGUUAAGUUAAUUAACAAUAGUCAGGGCUGCAGAUCCGAGAUCUUCUGGAUCAUUUCAGAGGUGCAGAGAGUUUUGAAGAGCUUUAGCUCAGUUUGUGUUCAAUAUACUCAUAGAUCUUGUAAUGCAAUAGCCCACUCUUUAGCUAAAUUAGCUCUAGAGAAACUCGAAACGAUUAUUUGGUUGGGUUCAUACCCUCCCUACUUGUUGUACUUGUUUUCUUCUUUAAGCUGAAAUGAAGUUAUUUUCCUUUCAAAAAAAAAAAUAUUAUUGGAGGUAAUAUUUUACUUAUUAUCACCAUUAAUUAUUAUUAUAAAAGUAGCGACUCUUAGUAAAAUAAAAUUUUAUAAUUACAAUCAAAGAAUAUCAAUAAAAAAAAAUCUUUCUUGAUUCAUAAACUAAAACUAAUUAGGAAUAUAUGUUAGAAUUAGCUUUUAUGAAAUUAAUAAAGUCAUUUUCAAAAAUAUAAUAAAAAUAUAUAAGCUUGUGACACUUAAAUUUGAUAAGGAUUUGAUAAUUUCCUAUCAUAUAAGAAUAUUAAUUAUAACAUAAACCAUAAUUUCAUGAAAUAGGUAUGUUAAAUGGGUGUUAAAAAUAAUAUAUACUUCAUGUAAUUAGUGUUUUAAUAUUUGAUAUUGAAUUUAAUUUAAACAUGGGGGAUCAAGUAUUUUUUAAAUUGUAAACAAUCUUACUCGUGAGUUCAUUGAUAUAGCUUACGACAUUCAUUUAAAUAAACGUACUUAAUUGUGUCAUUUAUUGGUGUUACACCAUAAUAAAUUUUAUAUAAUUACAACUUAUUUAAUUAAUUUGUGCUAGAUAAUCAACUAGAUAUUAUAUCCUAUAUUUAAUACUAAUAGAUUUUGUAACAUAUAUGUUAAAAAAUUAGAUAACAAAUUUAAAGGAGGGUUGAAAAGUGGUUUUCAAAUAAAACAUAUUGUUUGAGUAAAUUAUUUCAAACAAUAAGGGUGGUCAUUGUUAUUUUACAAAAAUUCUCCAUCCCCUAAAUCCGAUUAUUUUUAAAUUAUUUUUCUUUUUCAUUAGUACAAAUAUUAUAUAUCAUUGAUUAAAUCUAAUGGUAUAAAAUUAAAAUAUUAUUAAUAAUAUAAAAAAUUACAGUAUAAUAGAAGGACCCUAAUAAUUAUGUUAUUUGACUAUGGUAACUCAAGUGUAUUUUUAUUUAAAUAAAAUUGUUCAAAAAAGGAUUGUGUGACAAUUUCGCAAUUUAAAAUAAGUCUCUAUGUACAUUUUAAGAAAAAAUAUUGAGAAUCUUGGUGAUUUUUCCCAUUUAAAAUAUUGAAAUUUAGUUUUGGGAGUUACAAUCUAUAAUACACAUAUCUAAAAUAUUUAUAUAUACAGUUAUUCUUUAGUGCAUGCGCCCUCAUUUUUUUUUUAUGUGAACAUUCUUUUAAGUUAGGAGGUUUAAUAGAGUUUGUUUUUAAUGCUAUAGAAUCACAUGACUUUAUAGUAUAUUGAAAAUUAACUCUAUUAAGUUGCACGGUUUAAUAAUGUGUCUGCAUUUAAAAAAACAAAAAAAAACUUGCACUUGAGAAUGAUAUAUAUAUAUAUAUAUCUCAUGUCAAGAAUAUAUUAAAAGAAGGUACAUGCACCCACAUUAUUUUAGACAUUGUCUUGUUUAAUUUUAUUCGUUCAUUUUUCCCCUUUGAAAUCUAUAUUCAUUUGACAAGUCAAUGAGCUAGACAUUUAGUUUUCUAAUAAAAUAUUUUUUCUCAUCACUGAUCGUAAUAAACGUUAGUAUAUACAAUGAUAAAAAUACAAAUUAUUAUUUAGGAGAAUCAAAUAUAAUUACAUCAAGAGUGAGGUUUGCACUCUAAAAAGUAUUUUCUUCAACCAUUUUUAAUUAAAUUUUUAUUACUAGAAUAAUAACAAAGUAAUUUACUGUUAUGGAUAAUUAAGAAAAAAAAUCAAAUAAGAAUCCUCUCUCUAUGAUUUUGAUGAAAUAAAUUAAAAAUAAGCUAGUCAAUUGUUUUUUGUUCUCCCAAGUAGUUGAGAAUGCAUCCGCGGCAACCAUAUUGAAAGGAGUAAUAUAAUGACUACUCUAUAUUGCCUUUUUUUUUUAUUUGACUUUCUAAAAUAAUAAGUAUUUUAGAAAGAGAAAGUGAUGUGACGGAGUUAGGUAUAAAGCUUUUGCUAGAGAGAGAAGAGAUUCCUCACCAGUUUGGGAGCAAUAUUAGAAAGAAGAUGAAGAGAUCCAUUUGAAAGUAACUUUGGCAUUUUGAUAUAUUUAUAGUAUAUAAACUUAAAUUACCAGUUUAAUAAAUUUGAGUUUUUUUAAAAUUAAUAUUUAAAAUAAAUUUUAGAGUGCAAAUAUCCUCAUUUUAAUUUACAAAAUAUUAUUACUCUUUCACCCAUUUUAUAUCUAUAAUCUAUUCGUUCAUUUAAUUUAAUGAAAAUCAUAUUGAUCUCUUAUAUUUUUAUUGAUAUCUAAAGUGAAUUUUGAUGAAGUUAGUGGUAGUUAUUAAAACUCAUUCUAAAGAUGUAAAAACUUUGUGGAGGCAUAUUAACUAAUUUACUCUCAAAAUAAUUCUAAACUUAAUGCACGCAAAUUUAAUUUUUAUAAAGAAUUUUAUUUUGCUCAUUGCAUCUAAUAAAUACAUUUCAUGUGUUUACACACAAACACAAUUAGGAAAAUCACUGAAAAAUCAAAGCUAAAGUUUAGAUGGCUACGAAUUUUCUUCUUCUGUAAAAUAUCCAAAACUAUGCUAUUUCUUGAGAAUAAGAAAUAUUUUUAAAAAAUAAAAAAGAAUUAAUUAUAAUUUUAACUUAAAAGGCCUCUAACUUCAAUAAUGCUUUUUAAUUGUUUUUUAAUGUUUGGUUUUGGUUAUAAAAUGUGUGCAUGCAUUAUGUCAUCAAUGAUGAAAAUGUUAAAGUCCUCAGUCUCAUAAAUGACUGAUGACGACAAUUAAUCCUCAAAAGUCUUCUAAUUCGAUUCUCAAAAGGUUUUAUUUGGUUCUCAAUUUGAAUUUGUAAUUAAUGUACCAAAAUUUCAAGUCAUUAACUCACUUUGAAUUUUGAUCAUGUGCGAUGAAUCCGAUCAACCACGCCGUAUGCUUGCAAAACAAACUUUUUUUUAAUAAAAAAAAGUAUUAUUUUAGAAUGAUAGCUAGUUUGUUUUCCCACACAUGUAAGAUUGGGAGUUGGAACCUUAAUUCUAAAUAUUUGACCAAGUUAAGUUAAUUAGUACACAUGAGCGAAUGUUUGGGAGUUAGGAUUAAGUGUAAGAUUGAAUUAACUUUUGGGAUAAAAUAUUAAUUUCAUGUUUGGUAUGUUCACUUGAAUUGGAUUAAUGAACUAAAUAUAAAUUUUAAUCAUAAAUUCAUAGGAUUAGUAAUCACAAUUUUCAUGUGGGUUUAGUUAGAAUUAAAUAAUAGGUAGAAAGAUAUUUGUACAUUUAUGAUAUCUUCUAUAACUUAUUACACUAUUUUUAUUUAUAACUUAAAAAUUAUUUAUUUAUUUAUUUAUGGUUACUAAUUAAGCAAUUUAUUUUUUUUGUUAUUCAUGGUUUACUUAAAAAUGAUUAAUUAAUUUAAUAUUUGAAUAAUUUUAUUUAUUUUAUUUAAUGAAACGAUAUAUCUCAUAGGAAAUAACCUAUAAUUUAAACAAUUUAUAUUUUUUUUAAUUAUCAUUAUGACUACCCAAUAACUAAUUGAAUACAUAUGUACAUAUAUAAUAUCUAUAAAUAAUUGUUAUUUAAAUUCAAAUAUUAACUUAAAUACUGUUUAACUUCAUUUAAAUUUAAUUUAAUAUAAUCCAAUAUGAUAUUGUAUUAAACAUAUGUCACCAUUUUACAUAAUCUAACAUAAUCUAAUCUAAUUUAAUCUAGUUCAAUUCAAUCAUGUGUGCUAAAUCGUAGUUAUAAAUUUUUCAUUAAUUCCUUUCUUGUUUCCUUUCAUUUAUUUAUCCACCUUCCUUUGAAGCAUUUGAGGCUUUGGCCAAGAACGUAGUUUUUAGAGGAAGAAAAACUGGACUUGUAGCAUUGGACUCUAUUUUCACGAUCUGUCCAACAGUACCAUGAUUCGUGUCAACAGAACAACAGAAACUUCAGAAUGCGACCAUAAUAUUGUCAUAAGGCCGCGGCUAAGUUACAUACAUACAAAUGUAUGUAACAGACGAAAUAAUGAGCGUUGGAUUUUGAUUCCGAAAUCGAACGAAUGUGGAUAAAUGUGCUUUAAAAUNNNNNNNNNNNNNNNNNNNNNNNNNNNNNNNNNNNNNNNNNNNNNNNNNNNNNNNNNNNNNNNNNNNNNNNNNNNNNNNNNNNUUUAAAAAAAAAGCAGCAAAAGAUAGAUAAAACAAAAUUUUCGAACAUGGUAAGCAUAUCUUGCAAAAAUGAACUUUGUUUGUACACUCUACAAGCGAUUUUGAGGGUUUAAAAAGUUAAUUUUAGUGUUUAGUAAUUUUAUUUUUUAAAUUUUUUUAAAAUAUUUAUUUCAAUUAUUAAUUGUUGUAUAUACACAAUAAAAAAUAAUAUAUGUACAAAUUUUAAAAUGUGUAGAUAAAUUUUAUUCAAUAUUAUAUCUAUUUCAAUCAUUAUAUUCUUACAAUAAGAUUUACUAAAUACAUGGAAUUGUGUUUAAAUUUCACAGCUGAUUAUUUAUACAACACAAUUAACAAUAAUUAUUUUAAAAUUACCGUAUUACUAAACUGCUCCUCAAUAUACAAUUUUUUAAAAAGAAAAAUUAGAUACUUCUUUGUAAAAGAUGGUUUCAAAAAUAUUUUAUUAAUUUUUAUUAGUAUUAUUUAAUAUAUCUUGUACAAACCCUUUUUUUUUCAACACUCCACAAGUUAAAGUCGAAACCAUAUAUUAAAAACAUACAUGGAUCCAGGGGCGAAGCUAUGAAGAAGGCUAAAGCCCGGGUUAGUUUCUUGAAAAAAAAUUAAUUAAUUAUAAAUGUACUUUUUUAAAAAACUUAUAGUAAAAUAUAAAAAUAUAAUUAAUCUAAAUAAAAAAAACUCACUCACAUCUCUGACUAAUUGAUCCAAUUAUUUAAAGUUUAAAUUUUCUAAAAUUCAGCUGUUCAAGUCAUCAAGUUGCCACUUUAUGAGUGAUGGUCAGCCUCUACUGCACCCGCAUCUCAUACUGUUAUUGAACUAGUUAUUAACUUAUACUUUUGUCAAAUUUUUUGAUAAAAUAAUUAAUAAUUCUCUAAUGUAUUAUUAUUGCACACAAUAUAAUUCAGAUACGAUAAUAUAUGAGUUUUAUUUUUUGAAGAAUCGGACAAAAUUUCAUCGAUAGUAUUUUUUUAUAUUUACGUUGUACUUUUAUAAUUUUAUAUUAGUUUUUUGCUUGUCUAGUGUAUUUUACUAAUUUCAUUUGUAUAGAAUAAAUUUUUUGAGAAGUAAUUGAAUUUAAAAAAAAAUCUAACCCACCCCAAAAAAAAAAUAGUGCUAGCUUCACCACUACAUGGAUCUAUUUGUAUUUACUUAAUCAUUAACAAUCAAAUGUACCUUAAUUGGACUAUGAUAAUAAUUUAUUGCCUAUAUAGCCUUUACAUCACCAAUUUUUUUUACCAUUUUUCUUUAUAUAUUUUCAUACACUUUCAUUGAUCAAACUCCAUCAAAAUAAGUCAAAUUCAUACUAUUUAAUAUCUAUACAUGUUUUAUCGCCCAUAAAUUUCUUAGUAAAAAUUAUGUCAUAUAGGCAAUUGCUGUUUCACCGCUGGGAACGAGACAUGAUUAUCAACGACGUCGUAAAUUAUUAGAUAAACUUGUAGUCCAUGGCCAGAAUUAAAAAAAAUUGGUUAUCGUACAUUACAAAAUAUUUGGGGUCUCAUUGGAUAACGAUUGGAGUUAAAUAACUUAUCUCUUCCAAAUAUUUAUCCGAUUGUUCCUGCAACAAGUGGUGAUUUUAGUAUGCAUUUCUUGUCAAAUCAGUUUCGGUUACUUGACGGUUCUUCGCAACGCAGCAAAACCCCAUCAUUUGAAUAAGGACUCGGCUACAUUGCGGAAAACCAGUCUUCUUCUUCUUCCUCAAAAGCCCACUGCUGAUUUGAAAAUAUUGGGGUUACUGACUGGUUUUGAUUUUACUUGCUAGGGUUAUGAUUUUGGAAUAAUGAUAACUAAUUUUCCAAAAGUUUUGGGUUGAUGAACGGUGAUCAAUUUCCAAAAAGGUAAGUAACUUUUUUUUAGGGUAAAUGAACUAAUUUUUAUCAAUUUUAUCUUUUUUAUUUAUGUUGACGAUCCUGUUUAACUUGACAAUUAUUUGGCGGGUUCAUGUCUAUAAAAAUUAAUAUUUUUUUUAUGGAUUUUGCUAAGAAUUUUGAGAAGAAAUUUUAUAAUUGGUAUUCUUGUUUGAUAUUGUGAUGUUGUAAUUUUAUUUACAAUAUCAAUAACAUAAAAAAUAUGUGCCGUUGGACCAUAUUAAUGGUAUGCAUUAUCUCUAUUAAUAAAAAAUUUUAAUUAGUUUUAAAAUAAUAUAGCCAAUUAACAAACCGAUAAAAAGGAUGAUUUUAAAUUUAAAAAUAAAAAUAAAAGGAAAUAUGAUAAAAUAUAAUAUCUCAAGUUCUUUUAUUUAAAAUAAAAUUUUUGACAAAUUCUUUUAUUUGAAAUUAAAUUCUUGACGCAUGAAGUAAGUAAUCUUAAUUAUAUAAUACUUAUCUCUUAAUUAAUUAAUUAUCGCUGUAUUAAAUUAUAUAAAAUAAAUGGCUGAGAUUAAACACUUAAAUCUAAGAGUUUUAUGAAAAUACAUAUAGCAUCACAGAGAAAUCUUUCUUUUUUUUUUUUCUAACUUUUCCCAUCCUGAAUUAAUUUUCUCGAUUCCCCAUUGUCUUUAUGUGUCCAUGGCUCGCGUGGAUAUUUUUAUUUUCUUUUUAUGAAAUAUCUUUCCCACGGACCUUGUUUAUUUCGUCAUCAGAAAGUUCAAAUUGGAACCAUCUAUUAUCGACAUACAUAAAUCUAUUCGUAUUUACUUCAUCGUUAAUAAUGAAAUGUACUUUAAUUGGCCUAUCAUAGUAAUAUAUUGCCUAUGUAAUAUUUAUCCAACUAGAGCCAAUAAAAUUUGAUAAGUCCCGAUUACCAGACAUAAAUAAAUGUGUAUAAAUCAUUAAAUUUAACACAAUUAUUAAAUGAGUCAACUUCAGGUUGACAUGAUUUAUUCGUAUCGAUUUAGGGUUAAAGUUUUUUAUUCAUUUACCUAAUUAAUGACACAAUUAUAUUUUCAUUCAAAAUUAAAUUGUAGGUUUUCAUUAUCAAAACUCAAAUAUUGGAUAUGAUUAUUUUUUUUCUUUUGAAAAAGGUUGAACAUAUUCAUGGUGUUUUGUUUAUAAAAUUUUAUAUAGAUUCAAGAAUCAAUAGUGUAAAUGUGUGUGCGCGCGUGCAAGUGUAAUGAAAUAUAAAUAUUUAAUGUAAAUUUUAUUAAAUAUAUAAAUAUUAAGCAGGUUAUUGAGUAACUUAUUUUUUUUUUCCAUGUCCAGUUAGAAUCUUAAUAUUUUGAUUCGAUUAUUAAAUAAGUUGUACUUAGGUCAGCUUAAAUUUAAUAUAACAUGAAGUUGACGCGACACAAACACUACUUAAUGACCCAUUUUGCCACCUCUAUACUCAACUACGUCUUUACUAUUUACUAUUUUCUUCAGAUCUUUUCAUACACUUUCAUUGAUUAGUCUCGAUUAAAUAAGUACAAUUCUUAGUAGAAAUAUCUUCUCCAUCUUUUAUUUGGGUACACUAGGCUAUACAUAUAUUUUAUUGCCAAUAAAUUAUUAAAUAAGUAUCAUGCCUUUAGUCAAUACCAAUUUUAUCACCGGAACAAAACAAAAUUACUAACUGAGGUGGUCCAUCGCCGGAGAUGAAAAUUGGUUAUUUCUUAUUACGUAACAUUUGGUUCUCAUUAGAUGACAAUCGGGUAAAUAUCUCAUCUUUAACUUAUAUUUACCGUUCGGGGUAAAUCAUCAUUCUCAACUUAGCAAAUGGGCUGUCAGAGCAAGGCCCAAUCUAUCCGAUGGCUUCCCUGACACCGGUUAGCAACAGUACAAUUGGUUUCAACACAAAUGCUCAUAUUACACGUGGCGCCCUCAACAUUCGUUUCUUGUCAAAUCCAUGUCUGUCAGUUACGCUUUUCCGUAACAUAGCUAACCCUCGUCACAAUUAUUAAGCUUUUACCAAACACCCAAUAAUUUUUAAUUUUUUUUUUAUAGCUGUUAAUUUUGUUACGCAUCGAUAAUACACACCUAAGUUUCAAACGCCCCUUAAAACCUAUUGGUUUUAAGAUAGUAUAAAAUAAUAAAAUAUCUAUGUAAUACAUCUAUACAUUUAUUUUGAGAAAAAAAAAUCGAUCGAGUUAGUGGCUCCUAUUAAUGGGAAUAAGGAUAAUGAUUGUGUAUUUAAAAACGUUUGUGAGGUGCAUAAAGUAGCAGAACCAAUUAGUUUAUCGCAGAGUAGUUAUUCAGUUUGAUUUAUUUAAUUAUAAUAAGUAUUUUUUUAAUAUUAAUUACGCAUCAAAUUAUUAUAUUGUACAUAUAUUUAUUUACAAUACUAUUAUAACAGACAUUACAUUGAUAUUUACAAUCAGAUAUACGUAACUAGAACUUACAUUAUUACAUUAAAUUCUAUGAAGUACAUAUUCACAGACGAGAGAUGUUCCUGCUUCACUCGCAUUUCACAGGCGAGAAAAACUUAUAAAUAUUUAGCCUCCACAAUACUUUUGUGGAGGCUUGAACCUCUGUCCUCACACUUAUGAGGACAGCAGUCCAACCACUUCAGCUAAAGAUUUAGUUAAUAAGUGUUUAUUUAAUACUAUAAGUUGACAUCAUUUGAAUAAAAUUUUUGAAGAUUAAAUAAAUAUUUUGUAUCUAUUAUUAUAAGCUCAAAUUUUAAGUUUUUGAGAGGAGAAAUUAUAAUUUUUUAAAACAUUUAUAUAUUCUUUAUUUAUUAGAUAAUUUUUAUGUUAUCAUUAUAAUAUAAGUUUAAAAAUUUUACAUAUUAAAAUAAUUUUAUUAUCUUUAAUAAAAAUUCUUAUUCACAAUUCAAUGAAUAAAAUUUUAAUAAAAUUUACACUUAUAAAAAUUCUAAUAACAAAAAUUUUAUUUAAAUAAAAUUUAUUUAAAAAAAGUAUACCUACGGGCAAGUAGAAUCUUUUCAUUUGCAAACUUUUAACCAGUGAAUAUGGCCCAACUAUCAUGUAUAAUUGGGUCCCACUUAACAACACAAAUUAAUGAAUCAUACACAUUCUUAAGCCAAUUGCAUUUGCCUUAACCAUUUUCUCUCACAAAUUCAGCGAACUUAUUGAAUAAACCAAACAAACUCCAUCCUCUGCAUCGUCAACCCCUCACUGUGAGUUCCUCUCUCGCUCUUAUUUUUCAAUUCUUUUUAUGAUUUUUAUUAUAAAUGUUAUUGAUAUUAUUAUUGAUUGUUUUAGGGUUGUUGUUGAUCGAAAGAAUAACAUGGGUUGCACUGUGAGAGAGAAGCAUAUCCGCACAACACGGAGGACCCGAUCCGUCAAACCGGAAUUCGAUCCAUGUUGUUAUCUUGAUAAGGCGUCGAUAUCAAAAUCCAUUCUUGAAUCUGGACUCAAACCCUUGAGUUACCAUCUGGGUCUGAACGAUCCGUCCCAUAAUUCUAAUCCCAAUGCCGAUGAUCACGGUUGGGGUUACUGCACUGAAGAACAAUUGGAGGAAAUUUUGUUGAAAAAUUUAGAGUUUUUAUACAAUGAAGCUAUUUCUAAGCUUGUUGCCUUAGGGUACGAUGAGGAUGUUGCUCUGAAGGCUAUUUUGAAAAAUGGCCAUUGUUAUGGGGGCAUGGAUGUUUUAACUAAUAUUUUGCAUAAUUCUUUGGCUUAUUUGAAUAGUAGUAGUACUAGUGGUGGAAAUGGUAAUACUAGCAGUGUCAAUUCGGAGGAUUCCGAGCCUGUUUUUAAUGAUUUGAGACAGUUGGAAGAGUAUUCCCUUGCGGGUAUGGUCUGUUUGUUGCAACAAGUUAGGCCACAUUUGAGUAAGGGUGAUGCCAUGUGGUGUUUGCUCAUGAGUGAUCUUCAUGUGGGUCGUGCUAGUAGUAUUGAGAUUCCUGGUACUAAUGUUUGUGGUGGCACAAUUUCAAACAAUGUGGAUAGUGUGAGUAAUGGUGGGGUUAAUGGUGUUGUGGCUCCGGCGCUGUGUAGGUUUCAUGGAGGCUGGGGGUUUGGGAGUGGGGGGAAUGCGGAGUUUUCAGUUAAUGGGUUUUUUUCGUACAGUGCUGAAAUGACUUUGCCAAGGGAUAUUGAAUGUCCUAAGAGGUUUAAUCUUUCACCUUCUAUGAAAUCGUUACUGAAAAGGAAUGUUGCAAUGUUUGCUGCUGGCUUUCGGGCUAGUUCAAAGCAGGGGCAUUCACAACCUCAGGCUUGUGUGAGUGUUAUGGCGGGUAGGGAUGCAUCUCUGGUUGCAUCAGGGGCUGAGGUAACGGUUGAGAAUUGUGAAGACUCAAAGAAUUUGAAGGAUCCAAAUGGGGUUGAUUCUGUGCUGAGUAAAAUGCGCGAUUUGAAUAUUGAUGAGAAUUUGGAGACCAUAACAGAUGAUCAGAAGGAUGAAAUUGUGGUCACUAUGCUUCAUCAGAUUAAGGAUCUUGAGAGACAGGUGAAGGAGCGAAAGGAGUGGGCACACCAGAAGGCAAUGCAAGCUGCAAGAAAACUGAGUAAUGAUCUAACGGAGCUUAAAAUGUUGAGGAUGGAGAGGGAGGAGACUCAGCGUUUGAAGAAAGGAAAACAGACUCUUGAAGAUACAACCAUGAAGAGGCUCUCGGAGAUGGAGAAUGCUCUGAGGAAGGCUAGUGGUCAGGUGGAUAGAGCAAAUGCAGCUGUUAGGCGGCUUGAAACAGAGAAUGCUGAAAUUAGAGCUGAGAUGGAGGCUUCUAAGUUGAGUGCUGCUGAGUCUGUUACGACAUGUUUGGAGGUUGCCAAGAGGGAGAAAAAGUGUCUGAAGAGGCUCUUGGCUUGGGAGAAGCAGAAAGCUAAGUUACAGGAGGAGAUCGCUAACGAGAAAGAGAAGAUUAAGGAGUUGCAACAAUGUUUGGCUCGGAUUCAGCAGGAUCAGAAAGAAACUGAGGUGCGUUUAAUUUGUCUGUUUCCAUGGUUUUCCACCCAUAAAAUUUCCACAAAUAUCCACUGCUUUCCUAAUAUGUCUUUAAAUAUAUAGGGUUACAAACGUUGUAGUCAAUUAUCGAGAAUACCAACUGUACACGUGGUGUACACCUGGUGUGCUCAUUGAGUUUUACUUUAAGGAAAUCAUAACCCAUCUAUAGAAUUCAUUAAUAUUAUUGACUUAAACUUUAGUGGCCCAGUGUCUUGUGCUGCACAGACAUAAGUGAAUAAAAAUAAAUAAAUAUUAAAAGUAGGUAGACGCAUAACAAUUUAUGUAAUGAAAUCGGCCCAUUGAAUCAUAUGGGAAGCUGGGACUCAAACACGGAUGCUAUGUCUCAGUGAAUUGUCAAUUUAGAACUCAUGGAUGAAAAUCAGAAGUAUGAAGUAUUGAAGUUACAAACAGCCUUAUAUAUAGAUUCUGUAUGAACAAUGGUAGGUCACGUGGUUGAGUAAAGAAAAAUGAUGCUAACUGUAGGAAGUUUUAUUUUGGUAGAGUUAUUAAGGGCAUUGGUCAAUUAGAAAGCUAAUACACAAGUAAUAUCUUACUGGGCUAAUACUUCACCACUGCAUUGAUUCUUGGAUGUCUAACUUAAUUUUAGAAUGAAGAGGAGAGGGUGCUGCAGUAGGCAAGUUUAAAUGCCUAUUUUGUCCCUGAAGUUAGCAUGGAGACGGUUACCAAAUGCAAUUUUCUUAUCACCAUAUAUAAGCUACAGUUCAAGAUCAGUCAGUGAUGAUGCGUUUAUAAGCCAACGGAAGGAAAAGCAAACUGAAUAUUAUAAAAAGCAUUACUGAAAGAGUAAUCUUGGAACAAGCAUAAUAUUGUUGGUGUUGUAGCAGAUUUUUGAGUUGAAUGAGAUUCCUACAGUUUCUCAAGUUGAUCAUGUGAUUAAUAUUAGUUUUCAGGAUAAUGUCGCUAUUUGGCAACAGUAUCUUUGCUUUGGACUUGGAACCAGGGUUCAUCACUAAACAUUGCCUUGUCUUUUCUCCCCUUUUGGUUUAGUUUGUUAUCAAUUUACUUAAUCUCCAAAUUCAUAUUUUGGUGUUGGAUGCCUUGAAAUGAUAUUGCAUUUUUAAAAGUCAGCCAAUGUAUACAAUUUUUUCUAACAAUAUCCUUUUCUUUAGCUUACUUGCACUAAAAUCAGAAGAUUGGUAUAUAGAUUGUAGUUUCAGUGCAUGGUGGAUGCAACCAGUUACUUAACUUUCUUUUUUUCAGCCUGUAGUUUAACAAAGUGGACAUUAAUUUAGGAUAGGAACUAUUAAAAACUAUUAACAGAAUUAUCUAAUAAGUACAGUUUCGUUAACUUGUCAACUUUUAGCCCUUGGGCUUUAGCUCAAGUCCGAAGGGGAUGGAGGGUAGUUGGUAUAUUCAAAUCUCAAAUUUUAUGAUUUUAAACAAAUUGAAAUCGCCAAGUCAGUUCAAUGUUUUCAGUGGAAGUAUAGUGCUCAAGUGUGUGAUCAAUGUAUGAUAGUUCAACAUUAAGCUGGUGUAAAAUUGCAUUGCGGCUGAACAGCCAAGGUGGCCAAAAUGCAUUUAUGAGCGUGAUAAUUGCUGGAUUAGAUAAUAUGAAAUUUUUAAUUCUGUUUAGCUAUUUUGGAAUACACAUGUUUAUCCGGUCGCAUGUCCUGUCAUUUUAUAGUUUUAAUAUUUUGUGACUAUGAGAGUGCAAUUUGGAUUAACAAUAAUCAUUAAGAAAAUGUAAAUGGAAGCAAAUACAAACGUUACCGAUCUGUUGGUGGCAUGAUGUGAUUUCGAGGGACACUUAUUUUUUGAAUCUUCUGCUAGUAUGCUGUAUGAUUAUUUGUCUUUGACUUGACUGUAAGGGUGUGUUGUUCUUUAUAUGUUCUGCUUUUGAAUUGAGCUUACUUUGUUUGAUCAACUUUUCAAAGUUGGCUCACAAUUAGUUUUAAUUAGUGCAGAUCUCUUUAUUUUGUGUGUACACCUUAGGAACACCAUGGAACCUGACAGUUUAAACUCUUGAGGUUCUUGAUUUCUCUUUUCAUGUAAUGAACAGAUUCGUCUAACUGUGGAUAAUGGCUUUUGAUGCCGCAAAUAAGUUGCUCUGUUAUUUAACAAAUUGUAUGAUGGGCCAUCACAUGGGAUAAUUUACUCCUAUCAUUUUUAUGUGAAGUGUUGUCUGCAAGUUUCUAGUUUGUUUUGUUAUUUUCAUCCUCUUUUAAGUUCAUUUCCCUCAUAGAGCUCACAGAAUGCAAUCAAGCUUUUGAUUUCUGUCCUGCUUAUUAUAUGUUCAUUUUACAUACAACCAUCUUCCUUAACCACACAUAAUAGUUUGCAUUCAUUGGUGUGGCUAACGUUCAGUAUGAUAUGUGAAUAAAAACAGACCUUCUUCCUUUAUAUUUAUAAAAAGGAGUAUUGAUUCAACGGUAAUUAAUUUAUUACAAAAACAAAAUAUAGCGGUACCCAGCAAUUUCCUGUUCCCGACAGUACUCAAACCUUUUUCGAGGAUGCGGGUGGCAUUAGCUCAUAAUUUGGUUUUGGUGUUUCAAUAAUGCGAGAUCUGGUCCUAACUCCAACGAAUACUUCCUUCUUUACACACACACACGCGCGCACACACAUAUAUAUACCUGGUAAGUUAGGUACAGGUCUAUUCUUUCUUGCCAACCAUUUAGAUUAUCUUAAGCUAGCAUGUGGAUUUACUGUAUCUUGUUACUCUGUCAUCCGUCUUGCAUUUCUAUAAUUUUAAAAGCAGUAUCUUUCUUUCGGGGAGAAAAAAAGUGUACUGGCUUGUAAAAGCAGUAUCUUUCUUUCAGGGAGAAAAAAAGUGUACUGGCUUGUGGUUUUCGUGUAGAACGGUUGAUGGGGAAUGUUGCCUCCUGAAUUUAAAUUACUGACAUGUAUGAGGUAAAAUUGAGGUAGAAAACAAAUAUGGCCUUGGCCUCUUAAGGUAUCUAUUUAUAAUAUAAUAUAAUACCACUAAAUUACUGACAUGUAUGAGGUAAAAUUGAACUGACUUGAUGACUUUUGUUAGCUUUUCUAAAUUCUUUCCCUUCAAGUCUUAGUUUAUUCACUCUGCUCUUCCCAUUUUCAUGAUUGGACCAAUUAGAAAACACAAUCUUCUUAUUACAGUCUAAGUGGAGGCAAGAGCAAAAGGCCAAAGAGCUACUCUUGGCCCAAGUGGAGGAGGAACGGCGAUCCAAGGAAGGUGCUGAAGCUGGUAAUAAAAGAAAGCUUGAGGCUUUGCGGCUGAAGAUAGAGAUAGACUUCCAGCGUCAUAAGGAUGAUCUGCAAAGACUUGAGCAGGAGUUUUCGCGCCUAAAAGCUUCUGCUGAGUCUAAUGAGCAGAAUCAUCAGUCGAAUACUUUACCACCGGGAAAGUUAGAGAGGGCAAAGCCCCAAGGAGAAACAAUUGCUAGGUUGCUCCAUGAAUUAGAUGAACUGGAGGAUUCUUCUGAGAAAGAAACCAACUGUGAUAGGGACUGCAUAAUUUGUUUGAAAGAUGAAGUGUCAAUUGUUUUCUUGCCAUGUGCGCACCAAGUUUUGUGUGCCAGUUGCAGUGACAAUUAUGGAAAGAAGGGGAAAGCUACAUGUCCAUGCUGCCGGGUUCCAAUUGAACAGAGGAUCCGUGUUUUUGGUGCCAGUUCCUAGUCGUAGUUUGUCUUAAGAAAAUGCUGUCAAAUCUCCUUCAGGUAUACUGAUAUUAUGCAAUUUAAAUUUUGUCCCGGCUGUUUGGACUGCAUGCUUUUAAACCUGUCUUGAUAUGCUGAAGUGCUUCAGUGGAAUAUGGUUGGUUUGCAAAUAAGAAAAUUCAAGCCUAAAUAAGUGAAAUGCAUUUUACUUGGGUUUGGAAACUCAGAAUCUAGCUAUAAUAAUUUCUCUUAUCUUAUUUGCCAAAUUUUCAUUAAGAAUUUUUUUUUUAAAAUUUUAUGUUUUCACAUUCAGAAAGAGUUGAAGCAAAGCAAUUGCAGUAGCAGUGUGUAUUGAUUUUGGUGAUUGGCUUGAAAGUCCGUAUUUGAUUCUUUAAGGUAAUAUCUAAUAUUUUCCAACAUAACUUUUGAUGAAAUAUGUUAUCUUNNNNNNNNNNNNNNNNNNNNNNNNNNNNNNNNNNNNNNNNNNNNNNNNNNNNNNNNNNNNNNNNNNNNNNNNNNNNNNNNNNNNNNNNNNNNNNNNNNNNCUGAAAGUAGUGCAUUCUUUUAAUAAUUUGCGCAGGAAUUAGUUAAUACUUUAAUGGCAUUUUUCUGAAACAACAUAGAUUUCAUUACAUGACAACAGAAUUGUAAAGCAUUAAAAUAUCCAUUACAAGCCAACAAAAUAGUAGAGCAUUGCAAUAUUUAGUGCUAACAUUGUAUUGGAUUAUUUUUCAAUUAUCAUGCUGCACUAUAUUAACUUUUUUGUGAUUAAUUUAGGUUAUUUAUUUAAAAAAUAUUUACUAUAUGACAACUUAGAAAAGUAUUACAUCAUAAGUCUUAAAUUUAAAAUUUUUCUUAUUUUUAAUUUUUAGUAUAAAUGUAAAAAAUAUCAUAAUUCUUUUAAGCAUACGUUAAACUAAUAAAUUCUAUAAUUUUAGGCAGCAUAAAAUUUAUUUUUCCAACAUUUCUCAAAUGUGUACCCAGUGAAAUAAAGAUCCGAGUAAACAAUCUAAUCAAAUAGCCUCUAAAAAGUAUCACACUAUCACAACAUAAAUAAAUAGUUAAAAUAUACAAACUUAGUAUAUAAGUCAUCUUCGUAAUAAAGAUAUGGGUGGGGAUAUUUGAAUCCACUAAAUUUUUUUUUAUACUCAUUUUAAAAAAUAAAUCCAUCAUAAAAAAUAUAAAAUUUAAAAAUCUUAAAAUUACCGUCCACUAAUCACUUUCUCUUUCUAAUAUAUAAUUGUAUAUUCUCCCUGUAUUCUCAUAUUCAGCUUCACACUCCUACAAAAAACUUUUCAUUUCAUUUAUUACCCAUCUCACAUAGGGGUGGGUAUGGGUUGGUUAGAUCUAACUUGUGAAAACCAGUGUCAAUUCACUAUUGAUUGGGUCGAGAAAAAAUCAACCUAACCUAACUAAAUAAACAAGUUCAAUUCAAUCCAAUUCAAUCUUUAAAUUAUCGGAUUAAGUUGGGUUGAUUAAAAUUAGAAAUGUAAAAAGUUUAAAUAUAAAGGUAAAAAACACGAUUUGGUACUUAAAAUUACAUUCAAAUAGUAAGAAAACAUAUUAGUUCUCCAUCAUAACAUUAAAUAUAAUCUAUUGUACUCGGCAUCUAUCAAUAAAUAGCAUGAAAUUAUCUUUGAAUAUCUAUCUUACCUUUAGUGAAAAUUCAGAUUUAACUUUUAAAUUUGAAAUCUUGGGAAUUCAAUCAAUGUCAGGUUUAAUAGAGAGAAAUUGAAAACAAUCUCUUUUAUUAAAAAAAAAAGGUUUAAAAUUAGAUUUAGUCAUUUAGAGAUUAACAAUUGACAGUUGACAUUAAUUUUUCUAAGAAUUUUAUAAGGAAUAUUGUGAAUUUUACCUCUACUGAAAUCAAUAUGUGCCAUUUAUCUUAUAUUGUUUUCAUAAUAUUCAAAAACUCCUCUAGCCAAAAAAAAAUAAAAUUGGGUCAUUUGUUUUAUAAUUUAUCUUGUGAAUAUAAAUACAUAUGUAUUAUAAGAAAAUGUUUGAAAAAUAACAAAAUGUAGAAGAAAAAUAUUUUUUAUUGAUUUUUUUAUUAACACCGAAACAUAUUUUCUUACUUUUAAUUCUUAAAUUUUUUUAUUUUAAUUUUCAUUUAUAUGGUUUAUUUAAUUUAUAAUAAAUAUGUAUUUAAAAAUAAAGGUAAUAUUAUAAAAUUAUCUGCUAGGGGGUUNNNNNNNNNNNNNNNNNNNNNNNNNNNNNNNNNNNNNNNNNNNNNNNNNNNNNNNNNNNNNNNNNNNNNNNNNNNNNNNNNNNNNNNNNNNNNNNNNNNNUAGAGCAACGUGGUGACAUUAUUCUGCUAGGGGGUUAUUGAGUAUUUUGAAAACAAUAUAAGAUAAGUAGUGUAUAUUGAUUUCAAUAGAAAAAAGCUGGCAAUCUCCUAUUUUGUUAUUUGGGAUGGGUUGGGUAAUAUGAGUUCAUUAACAUGAACCGAACCUGACUUCAUCAUUAAUCAAAUUGAAAAAAAUUGACCCAACAACUUAUAUAAAUUUAAUUAGGUUUAAUUGAAUUAAAUUGGGUUCAUUGAAUUAAACUGGGUGUAAUAUUGUAAAAUCAUUCUGCUAGGGGGUUAUUGACUAUUUUGAAAACAGAAUAGGAUAAGUCGCUUAUAUUAAUUUCAAUAGAAAAAAAUUGACAAUAUCCUAUUUUAUUAUUUGGGAUGGUUUGGGUAAUAUGAGUUUAACAUGAACCUACCCCAGCUUAAUCAUUAAUCAGAUUGAAAAAAAUUGACCCAACAACCUAUAUAAAUUUAAUUAGGUUUAAUUGAAUUAAAUUGGGUUCAUUGAGUUAAACUGGGUGUAUGCACCCCUAGUCUCUUGUUCAUCAAACAACAAUCGUUGUCCAAGCAUUGAUGGCAAAAUAAGUCAACAUAAAUUUAGAGAUUAUAAUUUUCUAUUUGUAAAGGAUAAUGGCACUAACUUUUAUGACAGUAGCUUUUUGCACUUGGGCGUGGGUUCUAUUAUAAUUUUUUUUUAUACUUUAUUUAAUCCUUGGUGAAAAACUAUUUCUUAUAUGACGUUUUAAUAUAAAAAUAAGAGAAAAUGAUACUUAUACCUCCAAAUUUGGAUGAAUAGUCAUAAAAGCUCUAAAUUUUCAAUAAGAGACACUAAAAUCUCAUUUUCACCAUAAUAUUCAUUGACUAAAAAUCCAAAACAAUUUGACCUCAAAAUUUUAUAAUAAAUAGAAAUAUGGCA
rnacentral:lncRNA from 1 species